UCAUCGCACACUGCGCUUGGAUACAUAGAAGGAACCAUUAUACAGUGAUACACUGGUGGUGCCGUGCACACUAUAACAAAUACAGUAAUAACCAUUCUCUUGUGCUUCAUACACAAACUACAAAUACAUAGCAUAGUUAUACGUGUCACACGAUGUAAAACAUUAAGAAUUACCUUCUCAUCAAGAAGUUCCAAGUGACAACCACAUGAACGCACAUCGUGUGAUACAAGUAAUCAAUGGAGGCGAAAUAGGAAUACCUCAGUCCCUUAUGUAACAACAUAAUGCAGAACACCAUCCAAAGGCCAAACACGAACCCGAUAAUCAUGCUCAGGUAGAUGGAGUUCACCAUCCCAUUGUCCUUCUGCUCAGGCUCAUCAACUGGAGAAUUACUUGUUCCAUUUCCAGGGCAACCCUUUGGGAGUGGAGGACCACAUAAACCAAUGUUUCCAACAUACAUCGAUUCCGGGUCAUCAGUUGCUAGCGUCUGAAGUUGAUUCCCUGUUGGUAUUCUUCCGCUUAGAUUGUUAUACGAGAGGUUGAAGCUGGCCAAAGAAGUUAGAGCUGAUAUGCUAGAAGGGAUCUCUCCAGAUAGCUCAUUAUGUGAUAAGUCGAGGGACUCCAAUGCCUUGAGGUCACCAAUGUUAUUGGGAAUUCUCCCGCUUAAAUGAUUCCAAGAAACAUUCAAGCUUUUCAAAGCAACCAGAGCACUAAUGCCUUGAGGAAUUUGCCCAGUCAAAUUGUUACAUGAUAAAUCAAUAUUUACCAUGUACUGAAUUCCUUGAGAUAAUUCAAGCUGUUGCCCUUUGGUUAGAACUGACGUGGUCUCUGUAAAGAAAAUCGUAGGACUAUAAGUUUCCACGCCGCCGAUUCCAGAUCCUUCUACUUCAUCAAGGGAACUAUAUCCGUUGGAGCGAGCCAUUGCACUCAAGUUCACCAUGGACUCAGGUAUUUGACCAGAAAUGCGGUUACAUGCAAGGUCAAUAUAUUGAAGCCCUUGAAUCGUUGCAAGUUGAAUGGGAAUAUUGCCAGAAAAGUUAUUGGACCGCAGUCGUAGCCAUGCUAGGGAUGGCAACUUAUCUCCUAACCAUGCUGGCAAAUUCCCAGAGAAUUGGUUAUAUGCAAGAUCAAGGAAAAUUAAAUCUUGGGACAUCUGAAGAGCUGACGGGAAAACUCCUGAAAGAUUAUUGCUAUUUAAGUUAAGUGCAUGCAUAUAUUUGUAAGAAUCGGAAUCUCCUUUGCAAGUGGGCAACUCUCCUGAUAACAUGUUUCCUGAUAGGUCUAGUAUAUACAGGUGUUGCAUGAGGCACAGCGACAAUGGUAUACUGCCAGAAAUUGAAUUGUUAUAAAGAGAAAAAAUCUGUAAAUUCAUGGCUCCAAAGUCUGGUAGUGUUCCUGAUAAAUUGUUUCUGGAGAGGUCAAGAUACUGUACAUUUCUGGGAAAACGUGGAACUGGACCUGCAAAUCUGUUACUACUAAGGUCAAUGAUUUCUGCCGCCAACAUUUCAAGACUUGCUGGUAAUGUGCCAGUUAAUAAAUUUUUUGACAUGUCCAAAAUGGAAGCUGUUGAAACUACGACCCACAACCAAUCGGGUACAUUGUCAUAUAUGGUUGCAUUUGAAAUGUCAAGAACAUUGAUACUCCUUUGCCAUCUAAUCCAUGAUGGGAACGCAGGUCCAAGCUGGCAUGAUCUGAAACUGGCCACCUUUAAUUUGAAUGAAGGAAUCCAAUUUGAGUGUACCUCCAUGGAAAGAGAGUUAUCAGACAUUUCUAGUACUUGUAAAUUUGUCAAUGCUUCCAGGUGCUCUUCAUUUAUUUCACCAACCAGCCAGUUAGAACCAAGAUUUAAUAUAGUCAAAUUGUUAAGUCCUCCUAUCCACAAUGGUAAAGAGCCCGUGAUACCGUUACCAUACAAAUUUAAGGAAGUCAGAUUCUUUAGAGGCUGUAACCAAUUUGGAAGGUUCCCGGCCAAUUCGUUAUAGGAAAAGUCCAACACGUACAGCUUGUUCCAUGAACAUUUUGGAAGCCUGUCCAUCAAAUCACCUAUAUCCCCAGUGAUAUUAUUAAAUGAAAGAUCCAUAAUCUUCAAGUUACAUAGGUUCUCCCAAUUUGGUGGUAUCAUACUCGUAAUAUUGUUGUCACCUAUAUAAACUUGCUCAAGUGAGGUUAUAUUUCCCAUCUCAUAAGGAAUUGGGCCUUGGAAGCCAGAUGAGGAGAGGCCAAGAUAAGUCAAUGUCCUUAUGUGCCAAAACCAACUGGGAGAAAUUGUAGUAUGAAAGGAGUUGUAGCUGAUGUCCAAUACCUUAAGUGCUGUUAGAUUAGAAUGGCUGAGAAUGGUAUUUGUGUUUCUUAGAUCGCUGACACUUAGAUAAAGAACUUCUAGUGAUGGAAGGCUGCUAAUUCCAUAAAUCCAGUCUACUGCGGCGCUAAGAUUCGCCCAGCUCAUGUCAAGGUACUUCAGUUGGGAAAGAUGUGACACCCAUAUAAGGCUGUCUGAGUAUAGAUAGCUGCAGUAAUAAUUGUUCCCGAGAUCAAGAUAGACGAGGUUGGAUAGAUUACCUAGCUGCGGAGGUAUUCUCCCCAAAAAUUGCGCAAAGGAAAGGUUGAGGUAUUCAAGAUUUUUAAGGGAGCCAAUAAACUUUGGGAUGCUUGAACCAUUGAAGUAGUUACAACUCAAGUCUAAAUACUUCAGAUGUUGCAAUUCAACUAAGGAGGAGCUCAUCUCACCUCCCAGUGCGUUCUCCGAAUGACCAACGUCACCAUGGAGAUCGAGCUUGACAACAUGGCUGGUUCUGUUGCUGCAGUGAACACCCUUCCACUGGCAGCAAUCCUCUCCCUGCCAUGAUGAGAGUUGGCCCCCGGGAUCUAAUAAGCCGGCCUUCAAUGAGAGCAGCGCAUCCCUCUCACUUGUGAUGCAUCUCCCAUUCGAUCUCUUAGCUUGAAGGGAGGAACUUGAGGGCAUGGGCAGGAUCAGAAGCAGCCAGGUUAGGACUGUUCCUUGGAGAAGCUGGAACCUCACCGCAGCCAUUUUCAGCACGUAUGAGAUAUGAGUGCAGUAUCAAUGUCUCAACUCUCAAACCUGAUCGUUUUAAGCCUAAUCAGACCACUAAUCAUGAUUAGGCGAUGACUAACUGGACGACUAGCUUUCUGGUCGCUCAUGACUAACUGGCGGUCCAGAAUGGAUUUGACCGAAGUCAAUACCGGUCAACCCCACCGCCGCUCCAUUGUUUUCCUAAAAAUUCCCGAGUUUUAUAGUUUUUGCACUUGAGGUCCUGCGUAGUUUAAUAGUAAUUAGAUUUAGAUCCUUUUCCUUUUAUUUAAGCCCCUGCUCUUUUUAAAAUCAUCCCUGCCGUCCUAACUUUCUAGUCGCUCAUGCCUAGUCGCUGGUCCUUAUCGGUUCUAGGGGAGAGAUAAGCCCGACGAAUCGUGAUUAGGGCCUGUUUGGCUCCAUGGUGUUAAGUUUAACACCCGUCACAUCGAAUGUUUGGAUGCUAAUUAGGAGUAUUAAACAUAGACUAAUUAUAAAACUAAUUGCACAGAUGGAGUGUAAUUCGUGAGACGAAUCUAUUAAGCCUAAUUAGUCCAUGAUUUGACAAUGUGGUGCUACAGUAACCAUUUGCUAAUGAUGGAUUAAUUAGGCUUAAUAGAUUCGUCACGCGAAUUAGCACAGGGUUCUGCAAUUAGUUUUAUAAUUAGCUCAUGUUUAGUUCUCCUAAUUAGCAUCCGAACAUUCGAUGUGACACUGUUAAAGUUUAGCACCUCGUAUCCAAACGCCCCCUUAGUCGGGCAACUUUGUCGCACAAUCGUGACUGAGAAUGAUAUCAUCCACACAAUUUUGUCGCACAGCUGUCACAUGCUACCAUUAUUUGUGGUUAAUAAAUGCUAUGGAAAGAUAUGAGACAAAAUUCUUAUAGCCAUACUGUUCUGUUUGAACGCGUUGACAAAUUCCCUGCAGUAGUGCAUACCCGCAUAGCUGGCUAAUGCCUGAACAGCACUCGAGACACUUCUGUGGUCUGUAUAGACUGUCCAGUCAUCUUUCCAUGAUCGAAUGGAAUCUGCGCGUGCCUAGCCUACAAGUAAAUUACGUAAACUUAAAAUCUUAAACCCACGACUGUCGGUGUUUUAUACUGGCCGUCUACCAAGGGGUACCCGAGGUAGCAGAAUGUGUAAUGGGGGAUCGCCGGACCUGGAACUUGAAGGUAAAAGUGAGGACACGAGACAUAGAUUUAGACAGGUUCGGGCCGCCGGAGUAGCGUAAUACCCUAUGUCCUGUUUGGGUGUGUUUGUAUAUUGCGCCCUGCGCUUGGGUGUUGAGGUGUGACCUGCCGAGCUAGGUACCCCUGCCCUCCUUUAUAUACUUCAGGGGCAGAGUACUAGUCAGAUUACAAGGAGGAGUCUUAGUAGGAUUACAUGGGAUGAGUCCUAGCAGGAUUACAGGGGAAUCAUAGUAGGAGUCUGACUUCUUCCUUCCUUGCGAGUAUUGGGGAUGUAUCCCCGACAAUGACUUUCACUAAUUUGCACAAAACAUUAACUAGAUCAUACCUUGUAAAUAUGCAUUUACUUUGAUCCCUAUUAUUACUACAGUGUGAGAAUUCAAGGGAGACUGUUCGUUUGGCAAGCAAGGUGUUGAGAUCGUAGCCUUAGAUAUCUUUGCUAAGAAUGGAUAUAGAAACAAUAAUAGGCUUUGCUUAUAAUUUUUCUCCUUUUCAUUUGCGUACUAUUUUCCCUUUUAUUUAUAAUCAGCUUAUAAGCUGAAAAUUCUGUGAAAACUUGGUUGUGUACAGUCACAUAGGCCGAAAACUAUUCUUUUUCUAAAAAAUUGGAGAACGAGCUUGACAACAUGGAUGGUUCGGUUGCUGCACUGGACACCCUUGCACUGCAGCAAUCCGCCUCUCCUUUCCAUGAUAAGAGUUGGCCUCCCGGAUCUGAUAAGCCGGCCUUCAAUGAGAGCAGUGCACCCCUCUCACUUGCAAUGCAUCUCCCAUUCGAUCUCUUAGCUCGAAGGGAGGAACUGGAUGACAUGUGUAGGAUCAGAAGCAGCCAGAUUAUGGCUGUUAUUUGGAGAAGCAGGAACCUGCUGCAGCCAUAUUUGCAAAUCUAUAUCGAAAUGGAAGCAUUGGUCUUAUUCGAUGGCAUCCGUUUCAGCAGUCAAAGUCUUGGUCGUAUUGUCUGAAUGGUAUCCUCCACGUUUCACCAUCAGAUAUGAAAGAUAGCCAUCGUAUAUUUUCAGUCAAUUAAUACUAUGAAAAGACAUGAGUACAUGAGACGAAAUUUCUUAUUGAACGUGCGUGGACCGCCGUGUUGCAUUGACGAUUACCUAUCACUCCGUAGCAUAGUUGCACAGCUGUGCAAGCCCUUGUUUACUUCCCAAGUUGGGAGGUGCCAAAUUGGUAUUUUACCAUAAAUGCGACACUGUAGCGUUUCGUUUGUAUUUGUGAAUUAUUGUCCAAAUAUUGACUAAUUAGGCUCAAAAGAUUCGUCUCGCAAAGUACAACAAAACUGUGCAAUUAGUUUUUGAUUUCGUCUACAUUUAGUACUCCAUGCAUGUACCGCAAGUUUGAUAUGAUGGGGAAUCUUCUUUUUGCAUAGUGUCAAAGUUGGGAAUUUGGAGGGAAGUAAACAAGGGGUAAGUCUUGCAGCAGUUAAAGCCCACAUAAUAAUUUAUCUUUAUUUUUUAUUAAACAGGAGGGGUCAGGCCCUGCUAGUUAUACGUUACAAUGAAUGACGAGUUAUGUACACGCUACCUCCGUUUCAAAUGGAAAAUCAUUCCAAUUUUUUUGAAAAAUCAAAUAUCUUAAAUUUGAUCAAAUUUAUACAAUAAAGUACUAACAUUUAUGAUACCAAAUAAAUAUUAUUAGUUGUUUAUUAAAUAUAUUUUCAUAGUAUAUCUAUUCGGUGUCAUAAAUCUUUAUAAUCCUCUCUAUAAUUUUGGUCAAACAUAAAUGAUUUGACUCUUCAAAGAGUUGGAAGGAUCUGAAAUUUGAAACGGAGGGAGUAAUUCAUAAGAAAAAAGAGAGGAUAUUACACUAUAUUCUAUGGGCAUAAAUUCUAAUUGAUGGAUGAUACGCCUUAUAAAACCACUUCUUGCCGUCCAAUCGGGGUACGCAAGCAUCUAUUGCUUUUUUGUGAUGUGAUGCACCGAACCAUUCUCUGCUAGGGACUGCCAUCAUUGCUAGUUCAGGUCGGCUAAGCAUACAGGAGUAUCUGCCGAUGCAGUACCAAAUUUACCAGAUACUAGCGUAAACUUUAGCAGGGUCUGGUUCGGAUAUUAAUUAAGAGGAUAAAAUAUAAGUUAAUUAUAAAACUAAUUCGUGAGAUAAAUCUGUUAAGCUUAAUUAAUCCAUCAUUAGCAAAUGGUUAUUGUAGCACCACAUUGUCAAAUCAUGGACUAAUUAGGUUUAAUAGAUUUGUCUCGAGAAUUAGACUCCAUUUGUGCAAUUAGUUUUGUAAUUAGCCUAUGUUUAAUACUUCUAAUUAGUAUCCAAACAUCUGAUGUGACAGGUGCUAAACUUUAGGAGGAGCCAAACAUGAGAUUAGCAAGUGAAGGGGAUUGCAUCCAUGCUUAAUCUCAGUGCACUCUCCCUGUACAGUGUGACACCCACCAAAGAAGUACUGUUUUUCUUUUAUUUUUUCUUGAGCUUUGUGAUGUGUUUCAGCUUUUGUAAUGUAAGGUCGGGCGCACACAAGCAUAGUUGAAACACAAGCAUAGCUGAAUUUACACCCGACCGGAGGUUCCCUCCGGUCGACGACACAUCACGCGUGCAUGCUUGGUCGCUGGCCCACCAUCCCCUCCCCAUGAGAAGAUUAGGCUCCUAUCCACCUAGCUUAUCCCAUUUCUUUUCCCGUGACUCUCAUUCCCUUUGCCUUUUCUCUCUCCCCGCAGACCUUGACCGAUGACCGGUGGAGAAACUGAGAGGGCUCGGAAGCAUCUCGCAGAGGCCGCAUAGUGCCCUCGCGCGGGGAUGAGCGCCCCCCUGAGAGUGGAGAGCUUCGCCAGCGGGGAAGGAUCGAGCAGCCUGUGGUGUAGCGGCGCACGAGCCCGGUGAAAAUAGCGAAAUUUCUGUAAGGAGAAAUCUGACUCCCUGUAUCCUCGUGAUAGUCCCUGGAACAGUAGUUAUCACAUACUAAACUCAUUUCAGCAAAAAUAUCACUUCCAUACCUCGAUAACAAUACAAAUUUAUUUAUUAUAUCCCAAAAUAUGAAAGUACGAUCUGGUUCAUGCCCCUUGGGCUAAACGACAUGAAUAAAGCCAACACAGCGCUACCUGGAAGCAUCUCCAUCUUCACGAUCACCUCCACAGGCAUUCUUGAGCGUAGCACAGCAACGCUCAGUUGUACCAACCGUCGUGGUUGUUGUCGAAGUCAUACUCGUUACCUGCAAACUCACAAGCUGUUCCCAAGAAUUAGGACAAGUUCACGUCACCAUCCGUAUGCAAGCUUUAAGUGGCCUAAUACUAAGGGUCAAAAGUAGACAAGGAGUAGGUUCGGGUUUACUAAGGAGCAAGCAUAAAGAUAAACUCUAUAUCCAUCAUCCCAAUCUCUCAGCACAUCGGGCACACCUGCCUAGACAGGGUCCCUAUCACCAACAUCCUAACUCCAAACUUGGGUCGAGGAGAAGACUCCCUCUCUUCGCCUCUCAACACCUACAGCCGGAUCCUAAAGGGAAAGGGAGCAACUUCCCCUCUUCCUGAUUGCAGAUGCGGCUCACAUCACACAUAGGUAGCUCUAAGGGGGAGGUAAAGAUAUCCGAAAACAAUGGAGAGUUGUGACGUCACAGGGUUGUCCAUGACCGAGGACGCGGCUAUACGUAUAGUUUUAACUCUGUAGAGUGUGUACACCUGGACCCAUCUCGAAGUGAGUGCAAACGGUCCAUCGACCGAGAGAAUGUCACCCUACCGAGCGAAGAACCUGGGAGUUACGAUACCAUCCUGCAACCGGGCUCGGAUGCAAUCCCCCGUAGUGGAUCACCCCAGAAUUGUGAAGAACUCCCACCGGGGCCAAUCGGGGGUAAAAGCAAAUAGGGGGGCUAAAGGUCAACACCACUCCCCCUACUCUUAUACUCUAUUCUACGACAAGUAUGGUAUUGCACUUGCUAGUCUCGACCCGGGCCUAAACCCAUAAUUUGGCGAGUGGCAUGCACAUUUAACAUAUUCCUAUGAAGCAUGGCGACCCACUCGGUUUCAGACCGGGGUGAGCUCCUAACUCCCAAAAGCGUCCCCACAACGUGGUUCGCAGCAGCACCCAUAACAAGUAUCACCCCCAACUUCUAUGCUCCUCAUUUGUGUACUCGCAACAAGUACCAAUCAGGAAACAUCCGAGAAUGGACCUCAAGUCCCCAAUCCAAAGAUUGGGUUGUGUAAAGCUCACCCCCGUCAAGUAUCCCAAAAUCACCUUCUCCUGCCAGUUUUAAUCCCACACACGUCAAGAAUUCUAAUCACAAUAUCCCAUACACAUGCAAGCAUCACACAUAACAUAUAUAAGUAGUAUGGUAGUAGGUCGAAUAAGGAUUCAAGGCAUAAAGAAGGUCAUGCAAGGUUCAUCAUCAUGUGAGGAAAUAAAGUGCUAGCAUACUAAUUUAGCAAUGCCUAGUGGGUAUUCAAAUUGAAUGGGCGUGAACCUAAGUAGUCUUUCUCCUCGUAGUAGUCCUCGAACGGCUCUAGCUCCGGGUUCAGCCCUGAGUCGCCGGCAGCUCGUAAUUACGCAAUUACCAUAAUUACUGGGAUUCAAGUUACAAAGUAACUCCAAAAGAGAUCCAAAGAAGAACCAAAUAAGAACAAAGCCUAGUCUAAUGUGUGCUGCAUGAUUUUAGGAAAAUUAUGAAACUGGUCUCAUAAUUUUUGGAAUUAUAAUGACUUAGUUAUGACUUUUUGAAGUUGAAAACAUUUUUCGGUAUUUUGAUAUGAUAGGCGAAAAUAGAAAACAAAGAAGUUAGCUGUUUUAUUGGCCGUAGGUCAGCUGCAAUCUAGAUGCAAACUGCCACAAUGGUUUACAGGUAGCUUUUGAGGUUUACAGGCAGGUAGCUAUAUGCUGGUGUGGGGAGUUUUUGGUUUCUGGGGAUGAAAACCGGAAGCUUCGACUUUGGAACUGGAAGUUUCGAUUUGAAACAGGAAGUUCUGGUUUAGGAAACUGGAUGUUCCGGUUUUGAAACAAGAAGUUCUGAUUUAGGAAAACUGGAUAUUCCAGUUUGGGAACUGGUAGUUCUUGUUUUCCACGAGUAGAUCUCUCCCCUUGGUGGGAAUCUCCUGGGAAGGGCUAUGGAUGGUCCUGGAAAGUUAGGGUUCACCACUUAAGGGUUUGGGGUUCGUUUGGCUGAGAUUUUCUAAGGUUUCUAGAGAUACUACAGGCUGGGCUAAGCAGAACUAGAAGUUCCAGUUUGGAAACUGGAAGCUCCGGUUUUGCUAAGGUUCGGUCAUGAUGAGCUUUGCGAAUGCACGAGUGCGCGGUUCAGGUCACAGAUGCAGCGGUGUUUCACCCAGGCGAGCGAGGUUGUGAGACUCACCUGGUGGGCUUGGGGACGAGGGAAGAAGCGGUGUGGUGAAGAGGUGAAAUGAAUGGGUGUGGGCUUGGUGGCUCUCCGGCGGGGCAGCGGCGGUCUCCUCCUCCUCCGGCAUCCUCUCCCCGUCCCCUGCACCCCCUCCUCCCUUCUCCUCUUCUCCAAACAGUGGCGGGUGAAGGGGAAAACCCCAAUUUUGGAUGGGGACGGGAGUGGAUGGUGGGGAGCUCUAAUAGGAGGCAGCUAGGGUUCUGCGUAAUGAUGGAUGGUGGAGGAUGCGGCCGGGCAGUGUGGCAAGCAUCCGAAGGCGCCAGCGUGAAAAGUUAAUGUGGGCAGGCCGGCGUCGUGCGCAGCACGCACGUCAUUGUCGUGCCUUUGCCGCGUGCAUCUGCACUGACGAGAGGGGCCAAGCGGUCAGCGACUUCGGUGCAGAGGCGGUGUGGGAAAAAAACCAGAGGUUCCGGUUUUGGAAGACUGGAAGUUCCGGUUUUUGCUGCAGCCUUAGGUUGGGUUGUUAGAUAGGUGGGCCCGUGAGGUUAGUUGGGUUGGUUUGGGCUCAGGUUAGGUUUAGUUAGUUCUUCUUGUUUUAUUUGUAUUUGAAUUAUAAAUCCCACUCAAACAAAUCCAAAUAAAUUCCAAAUGAACUCGAAAGAUUCACACUAGCACCUAUAACACCUUAGCAUUUUAUUCUAAUCUAUAAGUCAAUUUUAGAAGGUUUGGGUGAGAUUCACUGAAGACACUCUUAUAGUUUGGAAAAUUUCACUCCACAACACAAAAUUUUUUGAAAUCCACAUUUUUGCAAAUCCAAACAUCCCGUAAAAAUACGGGAUGUUACACCCGGGGGUGCAGCUGCAACUAGCGGCGUGUGGGUGAGCGCGUAGCGACGACACUACGACAGAAGCGGGUGGGAGCACAACGGCAGCCCCGGUGAGCGUCUGCGCUCGGCUGUGGUGAUAGGCCCAGAGAGCAACAGUGAUUCACAAGGAGGUUAUUGGCUGCGCAUGAUGCACGGCAGGGGGAUACGAUGCAGCAGCCUCGCCGGCAAGCUCCUGGAAGCAUCAUUCCUUUUUUUCUACUUUUUCUCUCUUUUGUUCUAGAUUUUGUUGCAAGAGUUUUGUACAAAACAUUUUCAAAUUCUGUUCACAAUUUUUUUUCUUCAAUUUUUCUCAAAAAAUUUUCUUAGCUUUUCUCAAUAUGUUUUGUAAAUUUUGUCUCAACUAUUUCUUCCAAUUUUUUUCUACCAAUUUUUUAAAAAAGGUAGAAAAAGUUUUGCGUCAAAAAUGGUUUCAUGUUACUUUCUUGUUUAUCGAAAACUUUGUUCAAAUUUUUUCUGAUAUUUUUGUUUCAAAAAUUUGGUUUCCUUUUUUAAAAAAAUUAUAUAAACUUUUUUAUUCUUUGAAUUUUUUGUAUAAAAAUUUUUUCAUGCAAAAGUUUUUGUUGAUUUUUGUUCUUGAUUUUCUAUCCCAAAACAUUGUUUGUAUAAUUUUUGCAACAUCUGCAAUGGUGGACGUAAUAGACGGGGCACUGGUUGGUUGCAGCAUCAGCACAUGUGUGCAUGUGUAUGCUUGUGUCGGGAAAGAGGGGAAAAAAUAAUGGCGUAGGUGGUACCGAAGCUGGAAAGAGAAAGUAAAUGCGGUUGGAAAUUAACCCAUGUAGGUGUGUCCUAGCAUACCGAAGUUAGUAGUUUUACGACUCGAACUUUAUAACCACUAGUAAGGUGCCCGUGCUUUGCAACGGUACCCAAUUCAAAUACUAUCUUUAAUUUAUACAUAAUGUUCAAGUAGUUUGUUUUACAUACAAAUGGAACAAAACACAAUAUUUAUAAUUAAAUUAUAAGUAGAAAUAUGUCCCAUACAAAUUUAAAUUAUAAAAAUACUCCUAGAUUUGAUUCAAUGACCAUAUAGAAAUCAUAUAUCAACCAAUGUUACAACAUUUCAACAAAAGUUCUGCCUUCAACAAAACAUCUUGUCAAUUUUCUUGCAGAUGACACAAUCCAUGUAAGGUAAGAACCAGAUGUUUUUUCAGGUAUUGUAAAAGCACGUUUACCUGAUGGUGUGUCAUAGCCAGUACAAGCCCUUUUUUCUUUUCCUUAUGCUGGAGUGGUGUGAUAUAUAUGUGAGGGAUAUGGGUACCCAUAAGUCCCCACCAACCAGGAUGCUGGCCGGACCCGACAAGUAGGCCCACCUGACCAGGGUGUGUGGGCUAAGGACAUGAAGUUACUUGGAGUGCACGACAAGGCAACUAGAUUGUCUUAAUCUACCUGAAUAUUGUGGGAUGCGUAUUGUAAUCCGACAUAAGAAUACCUUCCAUGUAAAGACCGAGUAGAUUAGAUUCAAACCGACUUGUAACCCUUGGUCGUCAGACUAUAUAAGGCAGCCAAGGGCACCCCGGGGACAUGUCAUCCCAUACCAAGCAAUACAAUCCACGCAUACAGGACGUAGGAUAUUACUCUCUGGAGGUCCAAACCUGUCUAAAGUCUUUGUGUCCCUUUGUGUUCUCGCGAUCACCAUCGAGUUCUUGAUUUUGCAAUCACCCUCACAUACAAAUCAACCACCUAGGUAACCCCCUGGUGAACUGCCAGAUCUGUAACUCCGACAGUUGGUGCGCUAGGUACGGGAGGUUGCCAGAUUAGCUUUUGUGACCUUGAUGGCAUCCCAUCCCAGCGUUGUUUUUCCCGAGAGCAUGAAGGAUUUUCUGAACAACCUAGUGCAGAUCCAAUUUGGAACCAUGCCAGUGGAUUCUGUUCCGACCACCUUCUCCGUCAACUCGGCGGCUUCCGUCAACUCAGCAGCUCCCGUUGUCUCGGUGACUCCCAUCAACUCGGCAACUUUAGCUAACUUGGCGUCCAGCAGAUUCUCCACCCAAGGAUCAUCAUGCCACUCGCCUAGCAAGUUGGCAAACUUUUCGUCUCGGAGAGGCUUCGAAAUCUAGUUGUUGGCGCCCACCAACCCAUGCGCUCAGAUUUGAUUGCGGGGUUAGAUCGUAUCAGCAGCACUACCGCUGAGUGUAUAGAGAUGUCCGAGGCAGCGUUGCAUGAAUCCAGGUCAGCAUAGGGUCCGUCCUGCGCCCCCUUCAGACUACAGAAAUCAGCUUCCAAGAACUCUGCCAGGAUUGCAAGUCUUCCAGAUCCAAUCUGGAGACCCAUCUGAACCCGCCCAGUCUCUGGAUUGUGGUGAAUUCGAAGUGCCUCACAUCGUCCUAACGCCAAAUCCUUAUGGAAGUGACAAUGAGAGCAAGUAUUCUAUACUAGAUUGUGAAGCAUUAUUUGUCUCCAUUGACGAGCCACCUUACAAUGGCGAAACGAAAUCUCAAGAAGAAGGCCGUAACACCAGAAACAGAAACCGUGCAGAACGACGUCAACAGGAGCAAGCUGGCGCCCAACAGCAACCUGUCAAAAAUUCGAAUACAGUAGGUGACCAGCGCCAACAGUUGCGCCAUGAGCGUGAUAAUGCCGACAAGGGGGUGCUCGGGACAGGCGCAGGCACUCUGCGCAUGCCCGAAAUCUACUCGGUGACCUUGACCAAGCGGGCCCCAACAUUUUCACUACACCAACGUCCAACCUAGGGGCUGCUAUCGCCGAGCUAGAAAACCUUUCGGACUUGGACCAAGUCCGAUGAGCCAAAGCACGACUUCAAGCUGCCAACGCUCAAAUUGAGGCGCAAUUCAACGACCGACACUCUCGGUCCACAUCCUCUCGACAUUCUCGGAGCCGAUCUGGACACAGCAGAUCUGAUCGACGUCAAGGCAAACGUGCGGGUGGUCGGCUAGAUCUAAUUCGCAAAGAAAAGGUGGACCAAAACGUUGUCCAGCCUCCUAAGCCAAAGGCCAUCAACAAUGCAAACCCACUAGGCAACCCGGCUGCCAACAAUACCAAUCCGCCCGUUAACAACGCUCUUUAGCAAGACAACUAUGACAACCAACCGUGCGGUGGGAGAGGCAAUGAUGGAGACCAAGGUCGACCAGAACGCGAUCUUCGUGAUGAGCUACGUGAACUCCGUCAGAACCGUGACAUAUGCGCCGACCUAAACAAGCGCCACAACGAGCAGGAUGCAUAUGAGGUCCGUCGCCGCGCUGAGUAUGAUCAUGACUACGGCGCUCCUGUACCCAACCGCAACGCGAUGCGUGAUGACCAACAUCGACAGAAAGAUGAGAUGCGCCCUCGCGCUGACUACAACCGUGCAUAUGGUGCCCCCGGAGGCGCCCACAACCCGCCCAAGCACGAAUACAACUACGAAGACGACUACAACCUAUCCAAGCGCGACUGCGAUUAUGAAGAUGACUACUACCCGCCUAGACGCAACUACAGCGAAUGUGGCAGGCCAGCUCCCGACCAAUACUACUUUGACGAAGAUUACAAUGAUGACAUGGCAAUUGACGGCUUCGCUACUUUCACCCCACGCCAUCGAGCGGUUCAUUCGCCGCCCACUUUCAAACCAGCCAUCAACGAGAAAUAUGAUGGGCGCUCCGACCCCACCAUUUGGCUUAAGACAUACAACACCGUAGUAAAAGCAGCCAACGAUACUUCCUAGUGGUGAUGAGCGCCGCUCCACUUUUGUGGCUAGAGAAUCCUCCAAACAACAUCGACAGUUGGGGUUAGCUCACUAGAGCUUUCACUCAGAAUUAUCAGGCCACCUACAGCUGACCUGGCAUCAGGGAAAAACUCGGAGAAGUCCAUCAGUUGAUAGGUGAGCCAUUUCGAGAAUACGCCAAUCACGUUUUUGAGAACAACAACAGGCUGGGUGGCAUUGAUGACCGUGAUAUCAUUUGGUACUUUUGCAUUGGCUUGACAAACCAUAGGAUGUUCGAGAAGUUGUAUGAGGCAAAACUAAAGACGGUUGGACAGAUGAUAGAAGUUGUCAACGAUCAAGCUGACAUUGAGGAAGCAUCAAAAGUCCAAUGCCAAAGACACUCCCAGGCUGAUGAUUACAAUUAGCGAAUCCACGACAAGCCCCGAGCACAUCCAGACCACUGAUUUCGAAAAAGGGCCCCAGAGGUCUACGCUACUAAAGGUGACCUGACCAGGCAGAGCACCUUCAACCAAGAAGAAUUCGAUGAAACCCUCAGCGGACUGUGCCCUUUCCACUAGGACGCGAGUCAUACUUUGCGAGACUGCAUGGCUUUGAAAAAAGAGCUCAAUGCCCCAAUGGAAUAUAAACGACCUCGCCGAAAUGAAUACCGUCGGGAUAACAACAAGAGUGACUACCAUGGUCAUGAUGGUGACCGUCGCCGAGACAAUCAUGACAACCGCAAUGGUGAUGAACAUGACGAACACAACAGUAGACGCGAUGACCAUGACAACAGAGAAGAGCGAUGUGACCAGCUGCAGCAAGAUGCCCAACAGCCCAUCGCCGACCAAAAUGGAGAUUUGCAAUGGCCUAAACGCCAAGUCAACAUCAUUGUAGGUGGCCGCAAUGCCUUUUGCAGUAACCGCCAGAAGAAGCUACGACAUGAGAGGUCCACUUCAUCUCAGUAGAGCCAUCAAUACCUGCGAUGGUCCAAGCAGACCAUAACCUUCUCUAGGCAAGAUCAUUGGGUCCACAUCCCAAAUCCCGGGUCCUACAUGUUGGUGGUUUGCUCGAUCAUAGAUCGGGUCCUACUCCCAAAGGUGCUGAUUGAUGACGGUAGUGGCCUCAACAUCAUUUUGAUUGAGACAUUGAAGCGCAUGGAUUUUUCUUUCAAGCGGCUCCAGCCUUGCGAAGAACCCUUCUACGGCAUUGUUCCUGGAAAAGGAUCAUACACCAUUGUCCGAGUUGUUUUGGUGGUCACUUUUGGCACGCAGGCCAAUUACCGCACUGAGUACCUCACAUUUGAGGUGGCUAACUUCAAGACCUCCUACCAUGCUAUCUUCGGUAGGCCAAUGCUGCAAGGUUCAUGGAAAUUCCCCACUGUACCUACCUUGUCCUCAAGAUGUCAACUCCAAAUGGAGUCCUUUCUGUCUACGGUGAUGUGGAGACCUCAUACAAAUGCGACACAGAGGCAGUCCAACUCAUAGAGGCCCUGGAGUUAUCAGCAAUCACCACCGCCAUGGUCACCAAGGCCCCGAAGAUAAGCAUAGAUCAACUAACGAUUCCUGAAAAGGAGCUACCUCCACAGCAUUACAGCCCGACCCCAGGGUCAAGAAGAUUUGCCUCGGCCUUGAAGACCUGACCAAGACAACUCACACUCACUAGUUUUCUAUGGGACAACUCGGACAUAUUCGCAUGGAAGCCAUAAGAUAUGCUCGGUGUCCCAAGGGAGCUGGUUGAGCACUCCUUGGACUUGAGCAAGACUACGCGACCGGUCAAGCAGAAAUUGUGUCACUUCUCCCAAGAUCACAAGGAGGCCAUUAGGGUAGAAUUGAAUAAGCUCCUAGCUGUCGGAUUCAUCCGUGAAUGUAAACAUCUAGACUGGUUAGCAAAUCCAAUCCUUGUAAGAAUGAAAAUCGGUGAAUGGAGAAUGUGCAUUGAUUAUACCAACCUCAACAAGCACUGCCCUAAGGAUCCCUUCCCUCUACCAUGAAUGUACCAAGUCGUGGACUCUACUACGAGGAGCAUCCAACUUUGCUUCCUCACCUGCUACUCGGGCUAUCACUAGAUCACCCUAAACCCCGCCGACCAAGACAAGACUGCGUUCAUAACGCCCUUUAGCAUCUACUGCUAUAACACCAUGACCUUCGGGUUGAAAAACAGCGGGGGCCACUUACCAGAAGGCAAUCCAGGGUUGCCUCGCAACACAACUCAACAGAAACAUCGAGGCUUACAUCGACGAUUGUGUCAUCAUGACAAAGGAUCAAGAAAGCUUUAUAUCCGACCUUGAAGAGACUUUCAACACCCUUCAGGCUUAUCGCUGGAAACUCAACCCCAACAAGUGUGUCUUUGUUGUCCCGUUUGGAAAAAUCCUGAGGUUUAUGGUCAGCCAGCGAGGCAUUGAAGCUAAGCCAUCAAGGUGGAUGCAAUCAGAAAUAUGACAAAACCAUCCAACAAGAAAGACGUCAUGAAGCUAACUGGAAUGAUGGUGGCUCUUGAACCCAGCCAUGCCUACGUGGUGCAGCGACUAGUAUAUUAUGUCAGCGAAGUCCUCAACAACUCUAAGACAUGCUACACCCAGGUGUAGAAACUGCUCUAUGUAGUGUUAAUAUCUUCAAGAAACCUGUGUCACUACUUCCAGGAACACAAAAUCUAUGUGGUCUCCUCAUUCCCCAUCGGUGAAAUCCUGCAUAACAUGGAUGUCUACGACCGAGUUGUCAAGUGGUCUGUGAAGCUCAGCGAGUUUGAUCUUGAAUUCUACCUGCGUCUCACGAUCAAAUCGUAGAUUCUGACUGACUUCAUGGCAGAGUGGACGGAAAUCCAAAAGCUACCUUCCCUAGAAAGGCUGGAACACUAGACCAUGUACUUUGAUGGUGCCCUAAACCUUGAAGGAGCCGGCGCAUGAGUGCUCUUCAUAUCUUCCAGUACGUGCUCCAGAUCCACUACAAGGCUACCAACAACGGACUCCGCAUAGUUGUUUCCCUUGGAAUUAAGCGCAUACUCGCUUAUGGCGAUUCAAAGGUAGUGAUCAAGCAAGUGAACAAGAACUGGAACUACACUAAGGACUCCAUGGAUGCCUACUGUGUAGAAAUCCGCAAGCAUGAGGCCCACUUUGAUGGCCUCGAGUUCCAUCAUUUCCCUAGGGACCACAACAUUGCCGCUGACGUCUUGUCCAAGCUUGGGUCCAAGCACGCACAGGUGCCCACUGGCGUAUUCGUUCAGGACCUCCGGAAACCUUCUAUCAAAAUCCUAGAUCCCGACCAGGCUAGUGGUGUUAGUGGUUAGGCUCCAGCCGACCUAAAAUUCGCUGAAGUCAUGAUGGUUGAGGUAGAAGAAGAUUGUCACGCCCCGUUCAUAGCCUUAAUCACCGACUAGAUGGCACCACAGGAUAAGGUAGAGCAUGAAAAAUUAGCUCGGUGUAGUGAAAAUUACGUCAUCAUUGGAAAAGAACUCUACAAAAAAGCCGCAUCUACAGGGAUACUGAUGAAGUGCAUUCUACGCAGCGAAGGCAUCGUGUUGCUACAUGAAAUUCACUUGGGGACAUGCGGCAACCAUGCCUCCUCGGGCACUUUAGUCGGUAAGGCUUUCCGCUCUAGUUUCUACUAGCCCACAGCAGUAGCCGAUGCAAAGGAACUCAUCCAACGAUGCAAAGGAUGUCAAUUUUUCUCCAAGCAGCAGCAUCUUCCAGCUCAGGCACUAUGCACCAUCCCUCCAUCAUGGCCUUUCGCAUGCUGAGGGCUGGACAUGGUCGGACCUUUCAAAACCGCCCCAGGUGGCUACACACACAUCUUUGUGGCAGUUGACAAGUUUAAAAAAUGGACCGAGGUGAAGCCAGUCACCAGCAUCGAAUUGACUAAAGCAGCUCAAUUCGUGGAAGAAAUCAUGCAUCAUUUUGGAGUGCCUAACAGAAUCAUAACCAACCUAGGCGCAUAGUUCACAGGCGCCAAGUUCUGGGAUUUUUGCCAAGAUAAUCUCGUUGACGUGUACUACUUUUCAGUAGCACAUCCACGCUGCAAUGGCCAAGUAGAACGUGCAAAUGGGAUGGUCCUCCAGUCCCUCAACUCGCGCAUCUUCGACGACGCUUCCAAAUACGCCACCAAAUGGCUACGUGAGCUCCCCCAAUGUCAUCUGGUGUUUGAGAACACAUAAAAGUCAUGCUACUAGCUAUACUCUAUUCUUCAUGGUAUACGGCUCAAAAGCUAUCCUGCCAUCAGAUGUGGCCUUUGGUGCCCCACACAUUCAAUACUAUGAUGACGGUGAGGCAGAAAGUAGUCGGCAAGUCAAUAUUGAUAGUCUCGAAGAACAUCGUGUGGCAACUCUCCUAGAGCAUGCACGCCAUGAGUAGCAGAUACAGCGUUAUCAUGACCGCAAUGUCAAGGAAUGGUCCUUCAAUGUUGGUGACCUGGUGCUUCGUCGGGUACAGUCCUCCAAGGACAUGCACAAAUUGGCCGCCCCUUAGGAGGGCCCCUUCAUCAUCAAAUAGGUCAUCCAACCAAGCACUUACCAACUACAAUGGGCAGAUUCAUCUAGCAUCCCCAACCCAUGGAACAUUGAGCAUCUAUGAACAUUCUACCCUUAGAAUAUACAACUAUUUACUCUAUAUCUCCUUUCUCCAUAUUAAAUAAGUAAAUACCCCUAUCGGUUCCUUUCUGCAUACCUACUGCCUUACCGCUUUUCCUUCCCGAGCUAUGUUUUAAUGCUUGGGGGCUGCCCGACCUGCUCAACAGCCCACUCGUUCACAAACUCGGGGGCUUCCCCACUGAUCUCUGGGUCAUACCGCCCCCCCCCCCGCCCCACGGCUAUACAACUAACACGUGUGGUCAGCGUCCUAUCUAGCAAAACAUAGACAACCUUCCAUUCACCCAUCCUACAAGGUCGAGAUCUGCUCUCAACAGGACACUAGUCACGCAAGGCUAGGAGCUUAGUGGCUACAGGCCUAAGCUACACGUUGUCAUGUCGUAUACGCCAAGGGAGGGAUGGAACUCUUGUUCUUUCAUUAAAACAUAAAUAAGAUGCAUUUCAUUCAGCAUGGCACAAAAGUAGUUUAAUACAUCUCAUCAGUUUUCUACAGGUCAAGCUCAUUUAAAAUUAUGUCCGCCACAUCAUGGUAUUGCUCAAUGAACUCAGAGAUCUUGGUCUCAUCAAAGUCAGUGGCGAUCCCAGUAGCAGCACGCUCCAGGGCAGUAGUCGGGAAGUGCGAGUGCAGCAGUGCGAAUGCGUUCUUUACACAUUCGAGGGCGGUAUCCUUCAAUAAGCUCUUCAACUGACCUGGUGCAGCUUUAAUGCAGUCCAACAGAGGCGUCGGUCUGGCUGCAUCGACGUCCUUCUUGAUCAUGUCCAUCAGAUACCCAGCCGACUUUCGAAGAUCCUCCAACUCCAACUCCAACUCCAAGCCUGCAAUCACGCGCUGGUCAUUCUGGAGGUUACCUACAGCCUCCUCUAGGCUGUGCUCGAGAUCCCUGCGCCUGUUGGCCUCAUAGGCUAGCUUCUGGGACACUGCAAACUCAUGGUUGACUACAGCAUCAUGUUGUUCUUGGAGGCGCAAGUUGGCGUCCUCACAUUCUUUGACAUCCUACUGCAGUCUCACCACUAGUCGCUUGGAAUCUGCUCAGCCGACCAAAUCUGCAUCAGCACAAUGACAUUGGAGAUAAACCACAACCUCACAUGUCGGUAAAACUCACCUACCAGCUUCGAGCUGAUGAACUCGCGCUCUCUAGCAAAGCUAACCUCGAGGUGUGCCUUGGCGGCCUCACUCUCCCUAAGGCUCCAUUGCAGCCUAGUCACUUGCACUGCGGAAUCUACAAGACCAGCAAAAGAUUGCAUCAGUGUAAAAAUCGCAAAAACAAGUCUACUAAGGGCAAGUCAGCCGACUGUACCUCUCAGGAGCCCAUCUUGAGUUGUAUUCUCGACCUCUCGCCACGCCUACUACCUUUGGAGUUCCUAUUUUGCCUGCUCAAGUUCGGUCUCUAGUGGUGCCUUAGACCGAAAGCAAUCACAAUGGAAGACCAUUUCCUUCCUCUUCUGAGCAUGUUCAGCUAGCCCUUGCAAAAUACAUACAAUCAAAACUCCACAGAAGAAAUUGAAUUUCAAUCACAGAGCCAACAGACUAGUCGGUACACUUAUGCGAAGAUACUCGUUAAUCUUGUCUCCUGCUUCAUGCAUCCCGUCAAGAGUCUCCCUAUCCCUCACUUCAUCCUCUUCAACCUCAGCAUCGGUAUAAGGGAUGGUGGCGGGGUCACUCGCCUGACAUGAAGGGGGCACAUUGGGCAGCACAUCAUCCCUGGGUGGAUCAUCCUGUUGAUGAUUAGCCUCGACGCCCUCCUCAACCUCAUCCUCUACCACCAUGUCUUCUGGCGCCGCAUGCCCGACCUCAGCAUCUUGCGGUAUCGUGUCCUCCACAUUGGUGUCCUCCUGGGUUGCUCACCUGACCUCAGCGUCUGCCUGGGUCGCGUCCUUGAGACUAGCGUCCCUUUGGGUUGCUCGCCCGACCUCUGCACCCUUCACACUGGCGACCUCCUGAGCUGCAUCCCCGACUUGGACGCCACCCUCAAUUGCGCCCUGGAUGUCGGCCUCCUCCUCUAUCUCCCUUACAAUCCUAAGGCCGGCCAUGCAGUCGUCAAUGGCUUUAGCACUAUCUUCAACUUGUUGAGGUGCAUAGCUUGGUGCAACCUCCUCAACCAUAACACCACCACUAGUCCCGACCUCUAUAGUUGGUGGCUGCUCGGCGGCGUGACAGCUGGUGGCUUCAGCCUGAAUCGAGCAUUUUUCUAGAUUGGCGCUGCCAUCGUCAGAUCAGAUGCCAGCUCAGUAUCAUAACCACACCAAGCAAAACAACCAAGAAAUCAGACUACUGCCACAAGCGGAGAAAACAUAAGAGAAGAUGGCGGCACUUACAGAGUACUCUUCUUGAACAGACUUAUUUUUGGGCGCAGCUUUUGUGGUGGACCAGGCGCAUUGUCACCGGAGCUGUCCCGCAUCCUCUCCUUCAGCGCCUCCUUGAGGUGCGCCGCGUCAGUAGUGGUGGUUCCCCUGAGCUUCGGCUCCCCGCCCCGUGUAGCUAGGCUUGGCGUGCUGGAUCCCGCCUUGCUGCCCGUCCCGAUAGUAGCAAUAGUAGUCGGCACGGCCUUCUUCCGACCAGCCAACUUCUUCUUCUUCUCGGCUAGCUGAGAGGCCAUGGAAAGGGGCUGCUUGCGAGUUGCCUACCAGGCCCCCCGACUAGCACCUCGGUCCUCACCAGCUGCACUAACAGUAGGCCCAAGAGAGGACUCUGACUCAAACGCAAGGCUCGGUAGCAGCGCAACCUGAACAUCAAUUGGUGUGACCUUGGGUAGCAUCGCCUGGGUCCUGCCAGGCAACGGAGGAGGGCAGAAAUAUAUACAAGGAUCACUUUAAAUCAAAACAUGACUUCAAAUCAAACAGGUCGCAAAUCAAGUGUGCAUUACAUCUAAGCAAAAAUGAACGCAGACUCACCAGGGUAGGUGACGAAUUCCUUAGGGAGAAGGCCUUGGGGGCUCCCGUGUUAUGGAACUCGCUCUUGAACAACCCGGGUAAUCGGCAAAAAAAAUCUCUUCAACGAUCACCUCGCCAGCAACCUUCCAAGUUGGAUCACUAAGCCCCGAGUACUCGAACGAUGGAUGUACUCGGUUUUUUAUCGACUAAGUGGCCCUCUGACAGAAGUUGAUCCCAAUCGCCAUGGGCGUCAACCCUCACGCCUUGAGGUCGGCGAUCCUUGACAGCAGCUCGUUUACUUGGACUUGCUCCGCCGGGGUCGGUAGAUCCUGACACUUGGAUACCAACACAGGACCAAACCCAAUGCGCAGUGGCAACUCGAGCUUUUAAUUAGCAAUCAGAAACCACUCUGUGUGCCACCCCUUGUGGGACUCCUUCAACUGAAGGUUAAAAUACUCAUGCAUCCUCUUCGGAUGCAAAGAAAAUCCGGCCCCACCUAUGACCCUAUCCUUCCUGCCUUAAGUUGAUACAACAAAUAUCACCACAGAUUGAAGUGGGAGAAGGAUGCCUAAAUAUGCCUCGCACAAAUGAAUAAAAAUAUCAAUGUCUAAGAUCGAGUUAGGAUAGAGGUGUACCAACUCGAUCUUGUAGUAGUGAAGGAGCCCACGGAAGAAAUCUCUAGUCGGGAUUCCGAACCUGUACUCAAAGAACGGGGUGAAGACCACCACUUGCUCCGUGUCCUCGGAUAGAAACCCCUGACCGGCGGUGGUCUACCACUCCAACAGCUCCUGCGGACCAAGGAGCCCGCGGUUGAUGAAGGCUUGGAUCCUCUCUUGCGUCAUCACGCUCUUCAUCCACACGGAGGAAGGAUUCAGAGCAUUGCACUUCGCUAUUGCUUUGCGAGCUUGCGGAGUAGAUCUAAAAUGCACUAGGGUUUUGUAGCUCAUAAAAGUUGCGCAACAACUUGGGCGGUGGCAGCACAGCAACCUAGGCGAUGGUGGCGGCGCGCAUGCGAAGAAGAUUCAGGGACACGGCGAUGCAACCUAGGGUUUGCGAAUGCAAUGGCGGAGCGCUCAGUGAGCUUUGGACGGCGAUGUUGCGAGAGGUUGAAGAUGUGAAUGGCAACGGUCGCGCGACCCUUGUGCUUUUAAAGGAGAUAAUGGCGUCAUUCACAGACGGAAACCGUGGGCCCUCCGUUAAUGCUGCAUAAACGUGCUGGAUGAAAAAUACGAACCCGUCUGUUACCGCGCACCUAAUGGAUUUUUCGGGAUAGUGCCUCCGUGGCCUUGUCAUUCCCCAACCUCAGGGUCAAAUACCGAAUGACCUCGAAUUUUUUUUAAGAAAAAUUUGUUGAAGAACUAAAACACCUCUAUGCAGCACCAACACGGUCCGCCGACGGCUUGUGCUCAGAAUUGCUUUGUGGGCUGGUGCUCGGAAACAACAGCCUACCUAGUAGUCCCAAACUGAUGGGCUAGGCUAUUACCCUUCCGAGUCCGAUCGAUGGAUGGAGGGAUCCUCCAGCCCAGUAUAAAACCAAUAUGCAAAGACCAACCUAGCCCAGAGUCACAGGCACAGAAGCGCAUGGAGAGCUCAAGCCAUGUCGUAGGCUCAGAUUGCUCUGGAAGCUUCCCAGCACGCAUCUCGUAAGCUCAACACACUUCACUGGCUCCAACUUCAGUUCCGUUCCGAACGCAUGAAUCAAUUGAAUUUCAUGUUCAUGUAUUUUUUUGGGCAAAACCAAGUAGAUCAAGCAGCUAAUCCUGCUCGAUUCCCUCGGUCGGAAUACCUUGCAAGAAUCUGAAAUGUGGCUAGGAUGUCGAUUCCGGACAAGAGAAUAACCUUCGUUCAUAUGUAUGUAGGGUGCCAUUUUUAUUCAUGAAUCCCUAUGCAAUUAUAAAAAACAAAUAUGCAAACAAAAGUUACUCAUGAAUAACGGAAUUUUAGCUUCAUGCAUGAAUAAAAGUAUCUAAUUUUUUGUGCUUAUGAAGCGAUAAUUUUAAUCUUUCUUAGAUCAUCACACACUGCGAUACAUAUAUUCUGCACAACAAAUACAUAGGUCCUCCCACGCUACCUUGUCCACGCACCACGAAAAGUUCAUGCUCGUGCAUGUGAAAUUAAAUGGGGACAACCAACUAUAUGACGCCACCUCACAUCUCAACACAUCCACCAGAAAGCAUGCAUAUAAGGAAUCUUUUCUUGAUUCGAAACUAAACGCGAUAUCUCCUAAACCGCAAAUUCAAUUUUAGAUCCGUUUGAAGUAGUUGGUUAGAAAAAGUGUGCCUAACAAAAUGAGAUCCAUGAAGAUUAUAUUUGAUGAAAUUUUAAUUAAAGUAUGUAAUUGCAACUAUGUUGUACUGCGAUUUGCAAGCAUGUCCACAACACAAUUGCAACUUGGUUGCAGCCUAUUUAGCACUGGUUGUAACUCGUUAUAAUCUAGUGUCGCCCAAUUACUUCUGGUUGCAGUUAGUUACUACUCAAUUACAACCCGAUUACUACUCUGAUUGCAACCAGAUAUGCUUGCAACUCCUACCGAAUAGAAUUGCAAUCUAUUAUUACUCAAUUGCAGUUAGCUAUUACUUACUUGCAAACCGGUUGGUAGUUGGACACAGCUGCAACACAAUUGCACAUCGGUUUUAGCAUAGUUACCACUAGUUGUAAACCAGUUACAACCUAGUUGUUAUCCUAUUAGUACUAGUUGCAACAAGUUAUUAUACAGUUGCAACCUCAGUUGGUACUUAUUGCAAGUCGUUAUUACACAAUUGUUGCUGGUUGCAACCAGUUACUACCUUUUGCAACCUAGUUACUACGUAGUUGCAACAGUUGCUAAUCUGGUUGCAACCAGAUAUGAUUCCAACUCAGAAUUGCAACUUGAUGUGAUUAUACUGACCAGAUGUAAAUAAUACACAGAGUUAUAACUAGUUGCAACUCGUUAGUAGAUAGAGUUGUAAUUGGUACUACACAGAGAUGCAAAUUGCAAAAAUAAUAUAAAAUAUAUUCAUAACAGAUCUAGUUUUGCAAAGCACAUUUUUUUGAGUAAGAUGCAACAAACGGUUUGUCAAUCAGGUUUAAAAAUAAUAUAAAAUAUAUUCAUAACAGAUCUAGUUUUGCAAAGCACAUUUUUUUGAGUAAGAUGCAACAAACGGUUUGUCAAUCAGGUUUACGGUUUAGGAGAAAAUUUGUUUCAAAGAUUCGAAACAACAAAAAUUUUCAUGCAUGCUGGCUGCUGGUUAUUGCACGUGACUAACUUUGAGAAGUGGGAAGAAGAAAAUUAGCUAGUGGUUGUCUCAUGAGAGCGGAGGAUGCACCCAAGUGCAUAAUAGACGUAUAGUAUGUAUCUGUGUAUACACACGGAGUAUACCCUGUAGCCAGGCCACCUGGUGCAACACGAUUGGCCACCACGGCUCCCAGCAAUUCGAUCCGGCCUGUACGCGAGCCCACCAAGCGAGCGAGCCGAGCAUCAGGAGCCGAAGGUCAUUAUGCUAAUCAAUGUUAGGGUAAUUGUUAUGUAAUCAAGGUGAGGACAAAACUUCCGAUCUGGUUGAUAUGGCAAUCAGAUUCUGAUCCGUAUGGUCAAAAUACAAGCUACGACCUAGUAAUUAAUUCACGUUGAUUCGUUCAUUAUGUUUUUUUUGGGGAAUUCGACUUCACGAUUGCAUGCAAGUGGACGGGUUACUGGAAUAUAUGAACACGGUUUGUACGUGUUUUUUCUUUUUUCACGAGGCAUGUGCAAGUGUUACGAGAAUACAAGCUAGAGCUCGAGUGUGCAUGCGUGACGCGCAUAACUACAGAAGCACUAGUUCAUGCAAACUAUGGUAAAUACUGAGAAGUGACCACACAGGUGUACCGUCAUGGUGUACUGAGAAACCAGUUACCAAAAAGCCAUGACAACUUUACCAUGUACUCGAGUUGAUAAUUAGAACAGAGAGUUACCACAAUCCAACAUUAAGCUGUUCCAAGGAACAAAUUACUAAAUAAUGAAACAAAUUUACCGAAAAACAGUUUCGGUAAUUCGUAUGGUUGAAGACAAUAAUUAUGAUCCGGAGUUACCACAAUUUGGUUCACAAUAUGUCCAUAUAAUUGCAUGAAUCCCAUAGCACUGUAGUAUACAGUAAAAUGGAGCAGCACAUUUUGGAGGAAAUACAUUCAGAGAAUAUGUCCAUAUAGUAAUAUGAAACGACCAUUUACUAUAUUUUUCACAGUAAUUGGUAGCUCUGGAGAUAUCAUUUUGCUCAUGUUGGGAUUGCAAGGUCCUUCUAGAACAGAACUGUCGAACAAAUGAAUUUUCCAUCUGAAAGGAUGAAAAAUAAAAAAUGUUGCUCUGAAUAAGUGAGGACUUCAUAACAAAAGAAAACCAUACUCGCCGGCUCCCACGAAUGAAACAGGCUGGGAUUAUGAAACUAAGAGCAGGUUACCAUAUCUAUGAGAAUGCAAAGAAAACCAUACUCCAAGCAAACAUAUCACAAGCUAACUGGCACCACUAGUGGUAGAUAACUUUCCUCCUACAAAUCUGAAAAAUCAAACGAAUUUAAGGCUCUGCAACAGAAACAGAGCUUGACACCUUGCUGGCAGCAUCUAUGACAUGCAAGAUCAAGAACCUGUAAAGGAACUGUUUUUUCUCCACUGUGAAAUCCAAUAAGCACAUGUCGCUAGCUAAUCAGAUUUUUCACAAACAAAAAAAGGCUAAAGAUAUUCAUCCGAACUGGAUUCAUGAGCGUCUGAGAAAAGACCUGCAGGAUGAAUAGAGAAGCUCAGACCUGUAUGACACAGCAUCUCAAUCUCAUAUUUUCAUAUCUAGCUCCGAUUUGAACCGUUUUCUUGCUCCCUCUGCUGAUCUGCACAAACCACAGAAAAACGAACAGCGAUGCUCAGCCUGCGCGGGUCUUCAGAUUCGUUGGGGCAUUUACUCAAACACAGAGUGUGCACCAGCAUCACACGGUUCGCACCCGUAGUUAAUCUGCAAAAGAAUACAUACACAACACGCAAGAAUCGUGAGAUUACCUGGACAAAGAAGUCCAGCAUCAAAUCCUCGCACGCCGAGAUCCACGUGUACCAGCUCCCUGGGAAGUGGGAACCACAGCUUGAGCUACACCACGAACCGGCUGGGAAGUUCUGCCUCUGCCGCGCUCCAUGGCGACCAUCGCGAGGAGAAUGGGAGGUAGUGGCAGAGGCGCCGCAGAGCCACCAUGACGACGUCGCGCCGCCGCUCGCCGGGCCACCGUUGCUCCCACGGACGGGAAUCGCCGCCACUGCCCCGCGGGGGGGGGGGGGGGGGGGGGUGUUUUGUGCGCAGCCGAGCGGGCGAACGUGGUUUGGUGGGACUGGGAUGCUGGUUGCUGGGUCUGUUGGGUCCGGCUACAGAAUAACUCGCCACAAAUAAGCAGCUCUCUCUCUAUCUUUACCUUUACCUAUUAUUAAAUAAAUAAAUAAAGCAUAUUUUUUUUUGAAAGCUUGGGUGGCUCUAUGGCCUUUCAUUACCAUCACCGGAUUCCGCUAAAUCGCGGAUCACCGGCAGAUUUACAGAUUCGGGAAGAGGGCCAGUCCAUAUGCAUGACUGUUCCGAACCCCAAAAUAAACCCAGUCUUGCAAGCUCGUGCGCAGACGAGUUAGUACAACGUGGAAUAAGAGAAACAGCUAAACACACAAACUCAUUAGCUAACAGGUUUCGGAUAUCCCUGAAAAUCACUCCACAGUGGCCACGAUCAUGAGUAUCACAUGUAAUAGCUUCCUUUAGAACACUUGAGUCAACCUCCAGCUGCACAUGGGAGAUGCCAUACAAUUCUGUUGUUUCCAAAGCUUUGAGACAGCCAACCGCUUCCGCCAUUAACGCAUCAUGAAGCAGACUAGCGUUGCCUGCACCUGCCAGCACGUGUGCACCUGUGUAAUCUCUAAUAAUGAAGCCCCAGUCGUCAUGCUUAGUUGCCUUCACAAAAGCUCCAUCAGUAUUGAUUUUCAGGACACCUUGGGGAGGUCUGAGCCAUCUCUGUUGUAGCCUAGCAGUCGGUCUGAUUUUUAUUGUUGGCAAUUCCAGCAGCCCCGCCAUCUCUAAGACUGAAUGACAAACAUUUUGUAUAUUUUGAAUUGGAUCUCCAGCAUUUACCUUGUUUCUUACAUCCCACCACUUCCACAGCAAGAGGCUAACCUUACAUGCCAAGCUUUGUUCAAGUUGCAGCACAUUCCAAAUAAAAUCCUUCGAUGAUUUGGCCGACAGCAAAGCAAGGUGUGUUUGUUCCAUUUCCAAAAGACGCCAACAUCUCUUUAUUAGCUUGCAUUUUAGAAAACAGUGACCCCCAUCCUCAUCAAAACGCAUGCACACCGGACAUCUCGUGUCAAGAAUAACCCCUCUCCGUUUGAUGUUUUGCUUCAGUGGUAGGCUGUUAUGAGCCAGGCGCCAAAUAAAAUGAUGUACCUUUGGAGGACAUGGCAGCUUCCACAAUUUCUUCCACUUUUGUGCUUCGUGGUCUCCCUCCCGACAGCACACGCUACUUUCUCCUUGCGGUACUGCCGCUGGCGUAUUAAAGCAAGUAACGUCUCUGCCUGGCUUUUCGUACAUCGUGGUCAUUUUGCAAAAAAACCUCUGAUAUUUUAUGAAAUCAACCCUCAGUCCAAUUAUUAUGAAGAGAUUGGGGGUCGGAUGGAAAAAAGAGGAAAGGGAGGGGGUUAAAGGGGAGAGUUCUUCUCUUUCUUCGAAACAUACAGCCAAAGGAGCGGAUUGCGCGUGGGCGGUGGCCGGAGUGUCGCGUCGCGACCUCCGCUCCCGUCUCCGCCUCCCCCCUCCAUCCCCUUCCGCCGCCCAGCUUGUGGGAGCUCCCAAUUCAUGGGAGGAGGUUCCGCACGCUACCCCUUCCACCCACCCCGCCUGCGCCACCCACGGAUCAGCGUCGUCGCCGAUCGAAGGGGAUUGGGCGCCCGGCGGCCGGAGCGGGGAGCCCGCCGCUGCCCCGCGCUGCUCGGCGGCGAGGUUGGCCGGGCUCUUGGCGGACGACUCCCACCAUCUGUGGAACGACAGCCUCACCUGCACGGCGCUCGAGCUGUCGCCGCCGCCGCCCGAGCGGUCUCUCCAGGUUUUCCGGCGGCGAUGGCGGGCAAGGGAGGUAAGGAUCUGCUGGCGGCGAAGACGACGGCGGCGAAGAGCACCGACAAGGAUAAGGACAAGAUGAAGGCUCCCGUCUCCCGCUCCUCCCGCGCCGGCCUCCAGGUUCUCUUCCCCUUCUUCGUCUGUCUUUUGGAUUCGUCACCCGCGAAUUAGUCAGAUAUGUGGUUUCUCCCUGCGAAUUUCAGAUGCGCAACUUCAAAUUUCGCACUAAAAUUUCCCCUGUGUUUGUUGCAGUUCCCGGUAUGCCGCAUCCACCGCCAGCUCAAGUCCCGCGCCUCCGCCCACGGCCGCGUCGGCGCCACCGCCGUCGUGUACUCCGCCGCAAUCCUGGAGUACCUGACCGCGGAGGUCCUGGAGCUGGCCGGCAACGCCAUCAAGGAUCUCAAGGUCAAGCGCAUCACCCCGCGCCACCUCCAGUUUAUUUGUACUAACCUUGAUGUGCAACACAUCUCCCUGAUUUUCUUUUUCAUUGAUCCCCCAAAGAGCUCACCACACCUGCUACUUGCAUUUCUGAUCCAGUUACGUCAUCCUUGCAGUGGUGCUAUGUCCUCUAAGUGUCACAGAUGGCUGGCUCUCAGAAUUCAGCAAAUUCUGUCCUUCCUUGAGGGUCCUGCAGUAUGUUGGCGAUAAGGUGCACCGUCGUGACCUCCGGAGAACCUUGUUUGAACUUGUGCAGAGAGCUUCCACAUCAUCUCACUCUAAUGUACGCUAUUCUGUCUUUUCUGGGUUCAAUCUUCUAUAGGUGUAUGUGUAUCCCAUCAAUACUUGCGACAUCUUUUUUUCUUUUCUGCACGUAACAGGAAUUAUCAUUUGAUGUGCUCAUGAAAACAUAUGACAUAGCCUUGAUGGAUCAAGAUUUUCUUUCACAAGAUUUUCUUUCACAAAUUCCCUGGCACUAUGCAAUUAUUGAUGAGGCCCAACGUCUAAAAAAUCCAUCCAGUGUAAGUGGCCAUUUUAUUUAUGUAGUUCUUUUGAAUUCAGGGUUUGACUGGUUCCUUACCGUUACUGCUGCUUUUGCCACCAAGCACCUCUUGGUACUACUGCUAAGCCACACAUGAUGUACCUCCCCUCGUAUUUGUGCAUUAUGUGAUGUUUUCAGUUUUGAUUCAGUAGCACGGAAGCUCAGACUUUCAGUACUGUUUGGGAAAACAAACAUCUCCACUUUCGAGCACUGUAUUGGUAGAGCAUAAUGACAGAGGUAAAUUGGGCACUGUGACUAAGAGAAAACUAAAGAAUAGCUAUGACUUGGUGGCACCAAGUGGAAAUAUUCAUAUUUCACUAGCAGUUUGUGGACUUCAGGUUCAGCUGAUUAGUUACAACCUGUGUUGAGCUUGAGAGGGCUGCAACCAUAAAAUUGCUCAAAAAACAACCCCAUCAAUUUCCAUUACUUGUAACGAGAAUAUCAGAGUUUAGUUACAUUGCCAGAUAAAGGAAACUGAGGAAAGAGCAGACACCCCCUAGGAGUUCUAACCUGAUUCAAGCUAAAAUCCUAGGUGCAAUUCUGCAUUUUUAUUGGUUCGUUGAGCUUAUAAUCCAAGCAUUAGUGUUAAAAGGAAUUAGAUUAAUAGGUGUGCAUGUGUCAAACACUCAAAUGCUAUAUGUUACACCCUUUUCCUUUUCUCCUUUUGGUUACGAUCAAUUAAAAUACACAUAUAUUUUGUAACAAACCUUCCAAGUUUAACUCAGAAAGUUCUUUGCCAGGUACUGUAUAAUGUCCUUGAGCAACGCUUCAUCAUGCCAAGACGUCUACUACUAACAGGCACUCCUAUCCAGAACAACCUUUCUGAAUUAUGGGCGUUGAUGCACUUUUGUUUGCCUUCAAUAUUUGGAAAGCUAGAUGAGUUCCUUUCCACCUUCAAGGAAGCAGGGGACUCAUUAACAGGUAUUACUUUCAAAUUCUAGAGGGGCGCAUUUUAGCAUUGUUAAAUGUAUAUGUACUGUUGGUGAUUUACCUUUUCUAUUAGGGGGUUUUCUGUAUAUUUUCCCCUUCUUGUACCUGUAUAUAUAUGGGCCUAGAGCCCCUGUUAUGAAUACAAGUGCUAUUCCUAACAUGGUAUUAGAGCCGAACUAGGGUUAGAUUUCUUCCCAAUCUGCCUUAGGGUUCCUUUUUUUCCCGCACGUUGCACUUGCGUGCUCUUCUUCUUCAUCAGCUCCGGCCGCCGCCUGUCUGGCUCUCCACCCGCGGGACUCAGUCAAAUAUUUAAAAAACAGUGAGGUAAACUUAUCACUAUUGAAUAUGGAAUUAACUAUUCCUAAUUAAAAUUAUAGCAUUGUAUAAAAAUAAUUAACAUGAAGACGUACAUUAAUUUCCUGCUGAAAGUUUUAAUUUUGGCCAAAUACAUUGCAUUAGUAUCCAUGUUCAAAUAGUGCUCAAUAAUUUAUUCUGAUGCAAUUAUAUACCUGACUUAGCAUUAGCAAAUAUGUUGCUCGUUAUAACAUUUGGACUGCGGAUGCACCAAUUUAUCAAGUUAUUGCACUAAAUUGAACAUUUACAAGUUGUUGGGCCAAUCUACACCCACCUAUCAAGUUAUUGUAUUAGAUUGAACAUUUUACAAGUUGUUGGACUAAUCCGCACCCACCUAUCAAGUUAUUGUAUUAGAUUGAGCAUUCUACAAGUUGUUGGACUAAUUUGCACCCACCUAACAAGUUGUUGUAUAGUGGGCACAAUUUACUCAAUAAAAAAUAUCCAUUGCAGAAUUUUAGAGUUCCUGCAUGAAUAAAAAUGUCCACUGCGCAAUUUACUCAAUUUACUGCAGUAACACCAAUUUGCACCCACCUAACAAGUUGUUGUAUAGUGGGCGCAAUUUACUCAAUAAAAAAUAUCCACUGCAGAAUUUUAGAGUUCCUGCAUGAAUAAAAAUAUCCACUGCGCAAUUUACUCAAUUUACUACAGUAACAUUUGAAAUAAUAGGGUCAUCAUGAAAGGAACAGCAGUAAAUAAUAUAAUAACUUUACAAAGCUUUCUUAAUACUGAGAAAUCUGUAGGAAUAUAUACUCCAAGCAAACAUAUCACUAGCUAACUGACACCACUAGUGGUAGAUAACUUUCCUCCUACAAAUCUGAAAAAUCAUACGAAUUUAAGGCUCUGCAACAGAAACAGAGCUUGACACCUUGCUGGCAGCAUCUAUGAAAUGCAAGAUCAAGAACCUGUAAAAGAAAUGUUUUUUCUCCACUGUGAAAUCCAAUAAGCACAUGUCGCUAGCUAAUCAGAUUUUUCACAAACAAAAAAAGGCUAAAGAUAUUCAUGGCGACCGUCGCGAGGAGAAUGGGAGGUAGUGGCAGAGGCGCCGCAAAGCCAUCAUGAUGUCGAGCCGCCGCCAGCUGAGCCGAUCGAGAUGAGUGCUUCAAGCCGAACGGGCAAACGUGGUUUCGUGGGACUGGGAUGCUGGUUGCGUGGGUAUGUUGGGUCCAGCUAUAGAAUAACUGGGCCCUCGAAUCUCACUCAAUGGAUCGGGCCAUCCCCAAAUUGCGUCCGUUCCCCCGUUGACCAUCAGAAAAUUCCCGAGUCCUCGUCGCCUCCUUUCUUUGUAGCCAGAAGCACCGCUUCCCCACCGCCCCCUGCCACCGCCGAUCCCCUCGCAGCCACCUUAAUCGGCGAUUGAUCCACAUCCUAUUCGCCUGCUCGCAUCAAUCAACGCCAGUUUUGUUUGUCAGGCCGCACUCUGAUGGUGGAAGGAGGCGGGCUGAUGCACCAGUAUGCGUUGUUACAAUUCCAUAUUUGAUUCAAAGAAAACUCGGGUCCCUAUUUGAUUUGAUCUUCCAAUUGAUUCAUUUGUUUCCAAUCCUAAUUUAUUAGUCUGGUAAAUUAAUUACAUAAUAGUGUCUGGUAACUACCAUUGUCAUCAACUGAUGACGCUACACUUGUAAAGACCUCUACACUUGUAAAGACCUCUGGUAAAUUCAUGACACUAUUUUUUAAAUACCUUUUUGGUAAGUUGAUGACGCUAUACUUUGUGGUAAAUUGAUGACGUUAUUCUAGUAAGUACCUUGUGGUAAAUUGAUGACACAAUUGUGAAAAUAUUAUCGUCUGGUGUCAUUCGACUUUCUUGUAAAUUUGUUCCAUCUUGUGGUACUUGGUUUAUCAGAACCGCUUGAUGCUAAUUGUGGUUAUUCCCAUCUCAAUUAUUGUCUAGAUUCAUGGGAUUUGUCCAUAACUAAUUCAUGGUAAAUGGUUCCACGAAUUCACUAUAGUAACUGGUUCAUCAGACUAACUAUAAAAUUAUGGUAACUCAGCCUUAUUAUCAUAUCAAGAAAUUCAAAUUCUCAUAAACAUUUUUUUGGUAAAUUUGACUCACCAAUAUAGUAACUUAUCCUAAUUAUCAUCUCAAGCAAUUCUAAUUCUCGCAAGUAUUUUUUUGCGGGAUCUCGUAAGUAUUUUUUUGCGGGAUCUCGUAAGUAUUUAUUGGUAAUCAUCUCAAGCAAUUCUAAUUCUCAUAAGUAUUUUUUUGCGGGAUCUCGUAAGUAUUUAUUGGUAAAUUUGACUCGCUAAUAUAGUAACUGGUUCCUCAAAACAGUUUGGCGUGAAAUUGUGGUAACUACUCCCUUUUAAAAUGAAAUUGUGGUAACUAUUGUAGCUACGAGCUUUUUAUAUCAAAUUAACAAACGUAAAUAUACAUGUACGCUACACUUGCUUUCUCGUAAUCCAUAUAUUCUACACUUGCAAGCUGAUAUGGACGCGGAUAACGAGUCAACCACCUACAUGCACAGGGCUUUGGCGCUGCCUGGAAAUUACCGGAAACUACCUACAUGCAUAUGUGUGAUGUGUCGUGCUAAUGAUGGAUACGAAGCCAGCAAUGCACGCGGCAACGUGAACCUGAAUUCCCGAAAUCACCGUGAACAAAAUCAAAUCAAUGUAAAUAAUCCAUAAAUGAGACUGCGCACCAUUAAUUACCGAGCGGCAGAAGGCUUGACCUGUCGCGAGCGGCAGAAUUAAUUACCACCGUUGAGGAAGGACAAUCGUUGCGGGACGCGCUUGGCCCUGCGGGUCUGGAUGCACUUGGUUGUUGCGCGUGUUGACCCAAACACAGAAUAAGCUAUUCUACGAUGGAUACAUAGACCAUCAUACAAUAAUACAUUGUUGUACCAUGCACGUAGUAACUAAUAUAGUAAUACUUAUACUGAGAAUAACCAUCCUCUGGUGAUUCAUACACAAACUACAAACUACAAGUACAUAGCUUAAUUAUACGUGUCACACGAUGUAACACAUCAAGAAUUACCUUCCCAUCAAUAAGUUCCAAGUGACAACCACGUGCACGCACAUGGUGUCAUAUAAGUAAUCAAUGGAGGCGAAAUAGGAAUACCGUAGUCCCUUAUAUAACAACAUAAUGCAGAACACCACCCAAAGGCCAAAGAUGAACCCAAUAAUCAUGCUCAGGUAGAUGGACUUCACCAUCCUAUUGUCCUUGUGCUCAGGCUCAUCAACUGGAGAAUUACUUGUUCCAUUUCCAGGGCAAUCCUUUGGGAGCGGAGGACCACAUAAACCAAUGUUUCCAACAUACAUUGAUUCCGGGUCAUCAGUUGCUAGCGUCUGAAGUUGAUUCCCUGUUGGUAUUCUUCCGCUUAGAUUGUUAUACGAGAGGUUGGCUAAAGAAGUUAGAGCUGCUAUGCUUGAAGGGAUCUCUCCUGAUAGCUCAUUAUGUGAUAAGUCGAGGGACUCCAAUGCCUUGAGGUCACCAAUGUUAUUGGGAAUUCUCCCGCUUAAAUGAUUCCAAGAAACAUUCAAGCUUUUCAAAGCAACCAUAGCACUAAUGCCUUGAGGAAUUUGUCCAGUCAAAUUGUUACAUGAUAAAUCAAUAUUUACCAUGUACUGAAUUCCUUUAGAUAAUUCAAGCUGUUGCCCUUUGGUUAGAACUGACGUGGUCUCUGUAAAGGAAAUAGAACUAUAAGUUUGGAUGCCAAUUCUAGAUGCUUCUACUUCAUCAAUAACGACGAUGCCACCCCCAGAUCCUUCUACUUCAUCAAGGGAACUAUAUCCGUUGAAGCGAGCCAUUGCACUCAAGUUCACUAUGGACUCAGGUAUUUGACCAGAAAUGCGGUUACAUGCAAGGUCAAUAUAUUGAAGCCCUUGAAUCGUUGCAAGUUGAACGGGAAUAUUGCCAGAAAAGUUAUUGGACCGCAGUCGUAGCAAUGCUAGGGAUGGCAACUUAUCUCCUAACCAUGCUGGCAAAUUCCCAGAGAAUUGGUUAUAUGCAAGAUCAAGGAAAACUAAUUGUUGGGACAUCUGAAGAGCUGACGGGAAAACUCCUGAAACAUUAUUGCUAUUUAAGUUAAGUGCAAGCAUAUCUUUGUACAGACCAGAAUCUCCUUUGCAAGUGGGCAACUCUCCUGAUAACAUGUUUCCUGAUAGGUCUAGCAUCUCCAAGCCUUGCACGAGGCACAGCGAAAAUGGUAUACUGCCAGAAAUUGAAUUGUUGUAAAGAGCCAAAGUAAAUAAAUUCAUGCCUCCAAAGUCUGGUAGUGUUCCUGAUAAAUUGUUUCUGGAGAGGUCAAGAUAAGUAUAGAAAUUGCUUCUUGGAAAACGUGGAACUGGACCUGCAAAUCUGUUACUACUAAGGUCAAUCAUUCGUGCCGCCAGCAUUUCAAGACUUGCUGGUAAUGUGCCACUUAAUAAAUUAUUUGACAUGUUCAAAUAGGAAGCUGUUGAAACUACGACCCACAACCAAUCGGGUACAUUGUCAUGUAUGGUUGCAUUUGAAAUGUCAAGAACAUUCAUACUCCUUUGCCAUCUAAUCCAUGAUGGGAACGCAGGUCCAAGCUGGCAUGACCUGAAAAUGGCCACCUUUAAUUUGAAUGAAGGAAUCCAAUUCGAGUGUACCCUCAUGGAAAGAGAGUUAUCAGAUAUUUCUAGUACUUGUAAAUUUGUCAAUGCUUCCAAGUGCUCUUCAUUUAUUUCACCAACCAGCUGGUUAGAACCAAGAUUUAAUAUAGUCAAAUUGUUAAGCCCUCCUAUCCACAAUGGUAAAGGGCCCAUGAUACUGUUACCAUGCAAAUUUAAGUAACUCAGGUUUUUUAGAGGCUGUAACCAAUUUGGAAGGUUCCCGUCCAAUUUGUUACCGGAAAAAUCCAACACGUAGAGCUUGUUCCAUGAACAUUUUGGAAGCCUGUUCAUCAAAUCACCUAUAUCCCCAGUGAUAUUACUCCAUUGAAACUCCAUAAUCUUCAAGUUACAUAGGUUCUCCAAAUUCGGUGGUAUCAUACUCCCAAUAUUGUUGCCAGCUGUAUAAACUUCCUCAAGUGAAGUCAUAUUUCCCAUCUCAUAAGGAAUUGGGGCUUGGAAAUCACACCAGGAGAGGUCAAGAUAAGUCAAUGUCCUUAUGUUCCAAAACCAAUUGGGAGAAAUUGCAGUAUGAAAGUAGUUCCUGCUGAUGUCCAAUACCUUAAGUGCUGUUAGAUUAGAAUGGCUGGGAAUGGUAUUUGUGUUUCUUAGAAGGCUGCUACUUAGAUGAAGAACUUCUAGUGACGGAAGGCUGCUAAUUCCAUGAAUCCAGUCUACUGCGGCACUAAGAUGCAACCAGCUCAUGUCAAGGUACUUCAGUAGGGAAAGAUGUGACACCCAUGUAAGGCUGUCUGAGUAUAAGUCCGAGUUGAAGGCAGAAUUAAGAUCAAGAUAGACGAGAUUGGAUAGGUUACCUAGCUGCGGAGGCACUCUCCCCCCAAAUGCCGCCUUAGAAAGGUUGAGGUAUUCAAGACUUUUAAGUGAGCCAAUAAACUUUGGGAUGCUUGAACCAUCGAAGUUGUUACAACUCAAGUCUAAAUACUUCAGAUGCUGUAAUCCAACUAAGGAGGAGCUCAUCUCACCUCCCAGUUCGUAGGAACCAUGGAGAUCGAGCUUGACAACAUGGCUAGUUCUGUUGCUGCAGUGAACACCCUUCCACUGGCAGCAAUCCUCUCCCUGCCAUGAUGAGAGUUGGCCCCCGGGAUCUGAUAAGCCGGCCUUCAAUGAGAGCAGCGCAUCCCUCUCACUUGUGAUGCAUCUCCCAUUCGAUCUCUUAGCUUGAAGGGAGGAACUUGAGGGCAUGGGCAGGAUCAGAAGCAGCCAGGUUAGGACUGUUCCUUGGAGAAGCAGGAACCUCACCGCAGCCAUUUUCAUCACGUCUGAGAUAUGAGUGCAGUAUCAGCGUAGCAUUCAUUCAGCUCAUCUUAUUCGAUGGCAUCCGUUCAGCAGUCAACUAACGCAAAAGUCUUGGUCGUAUCGUCAGCAAUGUUAUACAGUCGUCUAGUCGGACCUAGUCGCCAUGGCACCGACAAGGUGAUUAGUCACGAUUAGUCGUCGAUCAGGUCCGAUUAGUCGGUCCUAGUCGUCCAUACAUACAAGGACCGAUAUGAUAUGUAUACUAUAUAGUGCAUAGUAUACAUCAAGCAUCAACACCACAAAUAAUGAUCAGUUGGCGACUUACUUGAAGCAGGAGCAGAGCAAGCACUAGAGCAGCAGCAGAGGAGAGCAGAGCAAGAGCAGAGCAGCAGCAUAAAAGCAAGAUUAAUCGUGACUAAUCGCGAUUAGUCGGACAUUGAUCGUCGGAAUGAUAUCAUCCACGCAAUUUUGUCGCACAGCUGUCAUAUGCUACCAUUAUUUGUGGUUAAUUAAUGCUAUGGAAAGAUACGAGACAAAAUUCUUAUAGUUAUACUGUUCUGUUUGAACGCGUAGACAGCCCUGUUGACAAAUUCCCUAUAGUACUGCAUACUCGCAUAGCUGGCGACACUUCUGUGGUCUGUAUAGACUACCUGUAGCCUAAUACUGGAGGGGUAAAUUACGUAAACUUAAAAUCUUAAACCUACGACUUCCACUAAUUUGCACAAAAUAUUAACUAGAUCAUACCUUGUAGAUAUGCAUCUAUUUUGAUCCCUAUUAUUACAGUGUGAGAAGUCAAGAGACUGUCCGUUUGGCAAGCAAGAUGUUGACAUCAUAGCCUUGGAUAUCUUUGCUAAGGAUGGAUAUAGAAGAAAUAAUAGACUUUACUUUUCAUUUUCUCCUUUUCAUUUGGAUACUAUUUUCCCUUUUAUUUAUAAUCAGCUUAUAAGCUGACAAUACUGUGAAAAUUUGGUCGUGUGCGGUCACUGAGGUUCAAAACUAUUUCUUUUUCUAAAAAAAUUGGAGAACGAGCUUGACAACAUGAUGGUUCGGUUGCUGCAGGGACAACCUUCCACUGGCAGCAAUCCGCCUCUCCUUUCCAGGAUAAGAGUUGGCCUCCCGGAUCUGAUAAGCCGGCCUUCAAUGAGAGCAGUGCACCACUCUCACUUGCGAUGCAUCUCCCAUUCGAUCUCUUAGCUCGAAGGGAGGAACUGGAUGACAUGUGUAGGAUCAGAAGCAGCCAGAUUAUGGCUGUUAUUUGGAGAAGCAGAAACCUGACUGCAGCUAUAUUUGCAAAUCGAAAUGGAAGCGUUCAGUUCAUCUCAUUCGAUGGCAUCCGUUUCAGCAGUCAAAGUCUUGGUCGUAUUGUCUGAAUGGUAUCCUGCACAUUUCACCAUCAGAUAUGAAAGAUAGCCAUCAUAUAUUUUCAGUCAAUUAAUGCUAUGAAAAGACAUGAGUACAUGAGACGAAAUUUCUUAUUGAACGUGUGUGGACCGUCGUGGUGCAUUGACGAUUACCUAUCACUCCGUAGCAUAGUCGCACAGCUGUGCAAGUCUUGCAGUUAAAGCCCACAUAAUGAUUUAUCUUUAUUUUUUUAUUAAACGGGAGGGGUCAGACCCUACUGGUUAUAUAUUAACAAUGAAUGAUGAGUUAUGUACACGCUCUCUCCGUUUGAAAUUUUAAGGCAUUCCAACUGUUUUGAAAAGUUAAAGUAUCUCAAAUUUGACCAAAUUUAUGUUGAAAAAUUAGACAACUGCAUAAUUAAUUUCCAAACUAGAUUUAUCAUGACAAGAAUAAAAUCUAGCAUGCAAUUCUCUAACAUACUAGGUAACAACAAGCACAACUUCAUUAUCUCAAAAACAUGCGAAAUAACGGAUCGGAUCACGUCAUAUAUACUUUGCGGAUGCAGCCGUGAUAGGAAGCGGUGCUGACGAAACGACGACAGUGUUGCGGACGGAGCGCAGCAGACGACGUCGAAGACAAUGAGCCGCCGCAACGCCGGACUGGAACGGAAGACGAGCCGUGGUGAAGACCUUGAGCAGUUGCGCAUAGCGCUUCCCAAAAACCUUAUUCGCCCUCUCUCGAUGCAGGAUCACAAGAGCGAGAGGUUUCGGAGACCUGCUCUCCCGUUCGCCGGUACACGCCGCCGCUCGGGAUCGAGUAGAUUACGGUGGCAGCGCAGCAGCAAGAAGAGGCAAAAAAACCUAACUCGAUUAGAUGUAUUUUCGGUAGAGACCGAUAGUCGUAUAUAUAGGAGAGCCCACGAUCUCACGUCGUGAUCGUGAUCGAAACCGAUUAGGUUUCCAUAUAUCUCGCUAACUUAAAAACCAAGUAGCCAAAAAAUAAAAUGGCGAAAAGAAAUCGCGCCCCCACAGGUGUUGCACGCCCGUGCCAUUCACGCAGGUGUCGCACGCCUGCGCCCUUCGCCCUGUCCGGCACGACGAGGCGAGACGAGCGUGCGCGCGUGUGGAGCUUUCCUUCUCUCCCCACACACAUAGCUUGAAGGAGUGGAGACAACCUCCAUAUUUAAGUUGGCCAUCCUCCUUCUCAACUAGCAAUGUGGGACUAAAGGUUUGCACCACUCAACCACCUGCUCAUGCCCACAUGAGCCUUUGAGAUUUAUUUGGAAUUUCUGAAAUUGGAAUGGGCCAAGCCCAUUAAUUCAUCAAUCUCCCACCUGUUCUCAAAUGUCCAUCAGAGAUUUUGCUUGUUUCUUACUGCUAUUUACAUACCAGUGUUUCAGCAAGGACUGUUAAGUUGAACUCUCGCCUAUAGCUUCAAGCUACAUUCAUCCACAACUUGAACAAUGGACUAAGCUUUGAAUUGCAAGUUUUGUACGGACAAGUUUCACUCAAAAUCGGAACUAGUACCUGGCUGCCAGUAGCCUACCCUGUGGGUGGAGCAUAUUCGUCGUACUCCUUGGUCUCUUCAUGAGUUUACUAGAGAUCACCGAAGUCUCGUAGACUGUGACGUUUUACAGUCAGGCUCAUAUAGGUGUGUUCUUUCAAGAAUGCUCUGUAGGACAGCAUCUUCGCUUAACCAAGCUAAAAGAAACACAUUAAAGCAUAUUGCUAACCUCCCUUACAGCAUUUGAGAGUAUUGCAUCUUCACAUUGAGAGGGUUUUAUAAUUACUCUCCUCAGUCAACCGACAGCUUGUUUUUCCCAAAUCCUAAUUCACGGGAUCUCCGAUCACAUAGGUUGGGUUACCACUGCAGCAACUCAAACGGGUCUCAUACCCAUCUCCCUCGAUGCACAUUCUAUCACAUUCCGUGAUAGCUCUUUUGUAAAGGGAUCUGCCAGGUUUUUGUCUGUUUGAAUAUAAGUCACACUUAUUACUCCGGAGUUUCUCAACUUCCUGACAGACUUCAGUCGUCUCUUGACAUGUCUUGAUGACUUCACGUUAUCCUUAGCACUGUUCACUUUGACUAUCACCGUUUGAUUGUCACAGUUCAUAAGGAUUGUCGGCACUGGUUUAUCAACCACAGGCAAGUCCAUCAAGAGAUCAUGCAGCCACUCUGCCUCAACAGUGGUUGUUUCUAAAGCAGUAAUUUCUGCUUCCAUGGUUGACCUUGUUAGAAUGGUCUGUUUGCAAGAUCUCUAUUAUAUUGCACCACCUCCAAGGGUAAACACAUAUCUACUCGUGGCAUAUAGGUCAUCAGUGUCUGAAAUCCAGUUCGAAUUACUAUAUCCCUGAAGCACCGCAGGAUGCCCGGAACAGUGAAUCCCAUAACUCAUAGUACCCACCAAGUAGCGCAUAACCCUUUCAAGUGCAUGCCAAUGUUCAGAACCCGAGUUUGACAUGAACAUGCUCAAUUUGUUCACAGCAAAAGCUAUGACGGGUCUCGUUGCGCUAGCUAAGUACAUGAGUGAACCGAUAAUCUGAGAGUAUCUCAAUUGAUCUUUACUAGUUUUCUUGUUCUUUCAGAGUAUCACGCUAGGACAUAAGGUGUUGGAGAAGGCUUGCUGUCCAUAAAACCAAAAUGGUUCAAGACCUUCUCCACAUAAUGGGAUUGUGAAAGAGUAAUCCCAUUCUCAUUCUUAAUUAGCUUGAUGUUCAGAAUAACAUCAGCUUCUCUCAGAUCUUUCAUAUCAAAGUUUUGUGAUAGAAAAGAUUUGACCUCAUUGAUGAAAUCAAUGUUUGUGCCAAAGAUCAGUAUGUCAUCCACAUACAGGCACAAUAUAACUCCUUCACCCCCACCAUGGCAAUAGUACACACAUCUAUCAGCCUCAUUAAUGACAAAGCUCGCAGAAGUUAAAGUUCUAUCAAACUUAUCAUGCCAUUGCUUAGGUGCUUGUUUCAGGCCAUACAACGACUUCAACAACGUACACACCUUGCUUUCUUAACCCUUCACCGAAAACCCAUUAUGUUGAUCCAUAUAGAUUUCCUCAUCCAACUCUCCAUUUAGGAAAGUUGUCUUUAUAUCCAUCUGGUGGAUGAUAAGACUAUACGAUGCAGCCAGAGAAAGUAGUGCUCGAAUAGAGGUCAUUCUAGCGACGGGUGAAUAGGUAUCGAAGAAGUCUUCACCUUUCUUCUAUGUGUAACCUUUGGCCACAAGCCGAACCUUGUACUUGUCAAUAGUACCAUCAGGCCUAAGCUUCUUCUUGAACACCCAUUUACAACCCAGUGGUUUGCAACCAUAGGGUCGUUCAAUGAGCUCCCAUGUCCCAUUAGAAAGAAUCAAAUCCAUCUCACUUUGGACAGCUUCUUUCCAAUUAUCUGCAUCUGGAGAUGCAUACGCCUCAGUGAUGGACGUGGGAGUAUUGUCCACAAGGUACACAGUGAAAUCAUCACCAAAGGAUUUUGCAACCCUCUGUCUCUUGCUCUUUCUAGGAGCUUCACUAUCAUCCUUCUCUAGGAUAUCCUCAUGCUCAUGCUCAUCGGGUUGUUCAGAAGGCUCAACAGGUGCAGUAGGUUCAAGAGUUAUUUCAGUAGAAAAUUUAGAGUUGCUAUGCAUAUCUUUAAUAGAAAAUAUAUUCUCAAAAAAUGUUACAUCACGAGAUUCCAUAAUAGUAUCAACAUGCAUAUCAGGGACCUCAGAUUUAACCACUAAAAAUCUAUAAGCAAUGCUCCUCUGAGCAUAUCCUAGAAAGACACAAUCCGCUGUCUUAGGUCCUAACUUGCACUUCUUCAAAAUGGGUACAUUGACUUUCGCCAAACACCCCAAGUGCGCAAAUAAGAAAGUGAUGGUUUUCUCCCGAUCCACAUCUCAUAUAGAGUUUGAUCUUUAUUCUUGUUUGGAACUCUAUUCAAGACAUGACAUGAAGUCAAUAGUGCCUCCCCCACCAUGUCUUAGAUAAACCAGCAGUAUUUAGCAUGGAAUUAACCAAGUCAGUCAGUGUGCGGCUUUUCCUCUUAGCAACCCCGUUGGACUCAGGCGAGUAGGGAUGCGUCCUCUCAUGAAUAAUACCAUGUUCCUCACAGAAUUCAUCAAAUAUUUUUGGAAAAUACUCGCCACCACGAUCAGACCUUAGACGCUUGAUCUUUCUCUCAAGUUGAUUCUCAACCUCAGCCUUAUAAACUUUAAAGUAAUCUAAUGCUUCAUCCUUAGUUUGCAACAAGUAAACAUAGCAAAAUCUAGUCGCAUCAUCAAUCAAAGUCAUGAAGUAUCUCUUUCCACCUUUUGUCAACACACCAUUUAUCUCGCACAAAUUAGAAUGUAUGAGUUCUAGAGGUGCCAAGUGUCUCUCCUCAGCCGCCUUGCGAGGCUUCCGAGGUUGCUUCGAUUGCACACAACUAUGGCACUUAGAACCUUUGGCAAUGGUGAUGUUCGGAAUUACACACAUGCUGGAAAGCCGAGACAUUAAACCAAAAUUUAUAUGAUACAAAUGUGAAUGCCACGUACUCGCAUCAUUACUAACGUUGCUACAAAUGUGGUUCACUGAUUUAUUACAAAAAUAUGCAAGGGAAAAGCGGAACAAGCCUCUGCACUCAUAGCCUUUACCAACGAAUUAUCCAUGUUUUGACACGACUAAUUUAUUGGACUCUAAUACUAUCUUAAAUCCGUCCUUGCAUAGGACCGAGCCGCUCACAAGAUUCUCGUUGAUAGUAGGGACAUGCUACACGUUCCUCAACUGCACGAUCUUUUCUGAAGUAAACUUCAGAUCUACCAUACCAACACCAUGAACAGCAGCAUGUUACCCAUUCCCCGUCAGCACGGUGGAACCCUGGGCAACCUGGUAAGAAGAAAACAAGGAGAUGUUAGCACACACAUGAACAUUAGCACUCGUAUCAAGCCACCAACUAGUGGAAUGAAAAACUAAAAGAAUAGUAGGUAAAUUACCGUAACCGACUCCAAUGUUGCCUAUGGUCACCAUGUUGACAUCCUUGGACCCAUUAGCCCUUCUGCCCUUGCGGUCUGCACGCUCUGGACAAUCCUUAGAGAAGUGUCCAAGCUCACCACAAGUGAAGCAGUUCAUCUCAGCCUUAUUCUUCUUCUUCGUAAAGGUAGUAGUCUUGACGACUUUGUUCUUCUCUUUGUUCUUGCCACAUGGAAAUUUCUGGACCAUGUUGGCGCUAGAUUGACCUUGGUCUCCUUUCUUAGCAGUGUCCUUCCGAGCUUUCUCCUCAACAUCAAGAGACGCUAUCAGAUUUUCAACUGAUAUCUCCUGUCUCCUAUGUUUCGAUGUAGUGGUGAAGUUCCUCCAUGAAGAAGGCAACUUUGCAAUUAUGCAACCAGCCACAAACUUUUUGGGUAAUUGACACUUAAGGAGCUCAAGAUCCUUCACAAUGUGUUGCACCUCAUGAACCUGCUCUACCACAAAGCGGUUAUUCACCAUCUUGUAGUCAUGGAAACUCUCCAUGAGGUAUAUAGUUCAUUGCUUGCAUCUGCUGCAUCAUACCUUACAACCAGAGCAUCCCACAGCACCUUCGCAUCUGUCAUGUCUAUGUAGACAUUGACCAAACGGUCAGAUAUAUUGCUAAUGAUACAUCCCAUGAAAAGGAUAUUGGCAUCAUCGAACUUUUUCUACACUUCAGCAGUAAGUUCGCCUUCAGGUUUGCCAAGCCUCGUGUCCCAGAUGUUCAUAGCAUUAAACCAUAGACGAACCUUUGAUUUCCACCUCUUGAAGUUCACACCAGUAAAUUUUUCCGGUCUCAGUGACUCAGUAAAACCAGCCAUACCAAAUCAGCAGAUUGCCUAAAAUAAGGUUUUUGGAUUGUUGGAAAAUUAGACAAUUGCAUGAUUAAUUUCUGAACUAGAUUUAUCAUGACAAGAAUAAAACCUAGCAUGCAAUUCUCUAACAUACUAGGCAACAGCAAGCACAACUUCAUUAUCUCAGAAAACAUGUUGAAAUAACAGAUCGGAUCACGGCAUAUGUACUUUGCGGAUGCAGCUGUGAUAAGAAGCAUUGUUGAUGGAACAACGACGGUGUUGCGGACAGAGUGCAGCAAACGACCCGAAAGAUGAUGGGCCGCCGCAACGCCGGACUGGGACGCAAGACGAGCUGUGGUGAAGACCUUGAGCAGUCGCGAGGAGCGCUUCCCAAAAACCUUAUUCGUCUUCUCCUGGUGUAGGAUCACAAGAGCGAGAGGUUCCGGAGAUUUGCUCUCCCGUUUGCUGGUGCAUGCCGGUGCUCGGGAUGGAGUAGAUUACGGUGGCAGCGUAGCAGCGAGAAGAGGCAAAAAAACCUAGCUCGAUUAGAUGUAUUUUCGGUAGAGGCCGAUAGUCGUAUAUAUAGGAGAGCUCACGAUCUCAAGUCGCGAUCGUGAUCUAAACCGAUUAGGCUUCCAUAUAUCUCGCUAACUUAAAGACCAACUAACCAAAAAAUAAAAUCGCAAAAGGAAACCGCGCCCCCGCAAGGUGAGGGGCCGGAUUUCGGCGGACCAUUCAUGCAGGUGUCGCACACCACGCCACGCCCGGCGAGGUGAGGCGAGCGAGCACGCGCUUGUGGAGCUUUCCUUCUCUCCCCAAGUACAGACAACCUCCAUAUUUAAGUUGGCCAUCGUCCUCCUCCACUAGCAAUGUGGGACUGAAGGUUUGCACCACUCAACCACUUGCUCAUGCCCACAUGGGCCUUUGAGAUUUAUUUGGAAUUUCUGAAAUUGGAAUGUGCCAAGCCCAUUAUUUCAUCAAUUUUUAUACAAUAAAGUAUUAAUAUUUAUGAUACCAAAUAUAUAUUAUUAGAUUAUUUAUUAAAUAUAUUUUCAUAGUAUAUCUAUUCAAUGCCAUAAAUAUUUAUAAUUCUUUUUAUAAUUUUGGUCAAAUAUAAAAUUGUUUGAUUCUCCAAAAAGUUAGAAGGACCUGCAAUUUGGAACGGAGUGAGUAAUUCAUAAGAAAAAAAAGGAUAUGACAAUAUAUAUUCUAUGGCCAUAAAAUCUAAUUGAUGGAUGAUACGCCUUAUAAAACCAUUUCUUGCCGUCCAAUUGGGGUAGGCAAGCAUCUAUUCCUUUUUGUGAUGUGAUGAACCGAACCAUUCUCCGCUAGCAUAUACAAGGACUGCCAUCAUUGCUAGUUCAAGUCGGCUUCUUGUUUAAGCAGACAGGAGUAUCUGCCGAUGCAGUACCAAUUCACAGUGCACUCUCCCUGUACAGUGUGACACCCACCAAAGUAGUACUGUUUUUCUUUUUUUUUCUUGAGCUUUGUGAUGUGUUUCAGCUUUUGUAAUGUAAGGUCGGGCGCACACAAGCAUAGCUGAAUUUACAACCGACCGCUCCCUCCGGUUGACGACGCAUCACGCAUGCAUGUUGGGUCGCUGGCCCACCAUCCCUUCCCCACGAGAAGAUUAGGCUCCUAUCGUCCCCAGCCUAUCCUAUUUCUCUUCCCGUGACUCUCUCUCCCUCAUUCCGUCUGACUUUUCUCUCUCCCCGCAGACCUUGACCGAUGAAGAAGCUGAGAGGGCUCGGAAGCAUCCCGCGGCGGUGGCGUGGUGCCCUUGCAUGGUGAUGAGUGCGUCCCCCCGAGAGUGGAGAGCUUCACCAGCGGGGGAGGGGGGGAUCGAGCAGCGUGUGGUGUAGCGGCGCACGAGCCUGAGGGAGCAGCUGCAACCAGCGGCGUGCAGGUGAGCGCGUAGCGACGUUGUUGCGGCAGAAGCGGGCAGGAGCGUGGUGGCGGCCCCGGUGAGCGACCGCGCGUGCUCGGCUGCGGCGACAGGCCCAGAGAACGAUAGCGAUUUGCAGGGAGGUCAGCGGCUGCGCAUGACGCACGACGUGGGGAUGCGACGCAGCAGCCUCGCAGGCAAGCUCCCGAAGGCAUCACUUCUUUUUUUUUACUUUUUCUCUCUUUUGUUCUAGAUUUUGUUGCAAGAGUUUUGUACAAAACAUUUUUGAAUUCUGUUCAUAAUUUUUUUCUUCAAUUUUUCUCAAAGUUUUUGCUUAGCUUUUCUGAAUAUGUUUUGUAAAUUUUAUCUCAACUAUUUCUUCCAAUUUUUUUCUGCCAGCUUUUUUUAAAAAGUAGAAAAAGUUUUGCGUCAAAAAGUUUUUCAUGUUACUUUCUUGUUUAUCGAAAACUUUGUUCACAUUUUUCGCUGAUAUUUUUAUUUCAAAAUUUUGGUUUCCUUUUUUAAAAAAUUAUAUAAACUUUUUUGUUCUUUGAAUUUUUCGUAUAAAUUUUUUUCCUGCAUAAGUUUUUGUUGAUUUUUGUUCUUGACUUUCUAUCCCAAAAUAUUGUUUAUAUAAUUUUUACAACAUCUACAAUGGUGGACGUAUCUGAUGGGGCACUGGUCGGUNNNNNNNNNNNNNNNNNNNNNNNNNNNNNNNNNNNNNNNNNNNNNNNNNNNNNNNNNNNNNNNNNNNNNNNNNNNNNNNNNNNNNNNNNNNNNNNNNNNNNNNNNNNNNNNNNNNNNNNNNNNNNNNNNNNNNNNNNNNNNNNNNNNNNNNNNNNNNNNNNNNNNNNNNNNNNNNNNNNNNNNNNNNNNNNNNNNNNNNNNNNNNNNNNNNNNNNNNNNNNNNNNNNNNNNNNNNNNNNNNNNNNNNNNNNNNNNNNNNNNNNNNNNNNNNNNNNNNNNNNNNNNNNNNNNNNNNNNNNNNNNNNNNNNNNNNNNNNNNNNNNNNNNNNNNNNNNNNNNNNNNNNNNNNNNNNNNNNNNNNNNNNNNNNNNNNNNNNNNNNNNNNNNNNNNNNNNNNNNNNNNNNNNNNNNNNNNNNNNNNNNNNNNNNNNNNNNNNNNNNNNNNNNNNNNNNNNNNNNNNNNNNNNNNNNNNNNNNNNNNNNNNNNNNNNNNNNNNNNNNNNNNNNNNNNNNNNNNNNNNNNNNNNNNNNNNNNNNNNNNNNNNNNNNNNNNNNNNNNNNNNNNNNNNNNNNNNNNNNNNNNNNNNNNNNNNNNNNNNNNNNNNNNNNNNNNNNNNNNNNNNNNNNNNNNNNNNNNNNNNNNNNNNNNNNNNNNNNNNNNNNNNNNNNNNNNNNNNNNNNNNNNNNNNNNNNNNNNNNNNNNNNNNNNNNNNNNNNNNNNNNNNNNNNNNNNNNNNNNNNNNNNNNNNNNNNNNNNNNNNNNNNNNNNNNNNNNNNNNNNNNNNNNNNNNNNNNNNNNNNNNNNNNNNNNNNNNNNNNNNNNNNNNNNNNNNNNNNNNNNNNNNNNNNNNNNNNNNNNNNNNNNNNNNNNNNNNNNNNNNNNNNNNNNNNNNNNNNNNNNNNNNNNNNNNNNNNNNNNNNNNNNNNNNNNNNNNNNNNNNNNNNNNNCUAAGUUUAAUCCGUGUCCAUCGAAUAUUUGAAGGUUAAUUAGGAGGAUUAAAUAUGAGUUAAUUAUAAACUAAUUGCACAGAUGGAGGCUAAAUGGCGAGACGAAUCUAUUAAGCCUAAUUAAUCCAUCAUCAACAAAUGAUUACUGUAGCAGCACAUUGUCAAAUCAUGAACUAAUUAGGCUUAAUAGAUUCAUCUCGCCAUUUAGCCUUCCAUCUGUGCAAUAGGUUUUGUAAAUAGUCUAUGUUUAAUACUUCUAAUUAGUAUCUAAACAUUUGAUGCGACGGGACUAAGCUUUAGUCCGUUUGAACCAAACGGGGCCUUAGUAGUUUUACUACUCGAAUUUUAUAACCACUUACUGGUGCUUUGCCACGGUACCUAAUUCAAAUGCUAUCUUUAAUUACACAUAAUGUUCAAGAGCAGUUUGUUUUACACACAAAUGGAACAAAACACGAUAUUUACAAUUAAAUUAUAUGCAGAGUAUGUCCUAUACAAAUCUAAAUUAUAAAACUACUCCUAGAUUUGAUUCAAUGACCAUAUAGAAAUCAUAUAUCAACCAAAGUUACAACAUUUCAACAAAAGUUCUGCCUUCAACAAAACAUCUUGUCAAUUUUGUUUCUGAUGACCCGAUCCAUAUAAGGUAAAAACCGGAUGUUUUUCAGGUAUUGUAAAAGCACGUUUACCUGAUGGUGUAUCAUAGCCAGUACAAGCCUUUUUUUCUUUUCCUUAUGCUGGGGUGGUGUGACAUAUAUGUAAGUAGAACUAUUGUGAUCAUCAAAUUGUUGCAAAGCAUGUAUAUAGCUAUAUGGAUUUGUUAACCAAUUAUGCAGGAGGCUUUGGUAAAUUACAAGGAUUCAUUCCCAAACGUGCAUACAACUCUGAAUCGUGAAUACAUACUAUACAUCCUAUAUUAUAUUAAGUGGCUAAUUCUGAAGAGGUCUUUUACGGUAUACAAGUUCGAAAAGGACUUGUAUGAAAGGAUCCGACGAUUGAGAUUAAUUGUAUACUACUAAAAUCUUAAGCUGUAGUAUAGGUAGUAUACAUGAGUAAUAUGUGUAGUAUAGGGGUAUGAUUGGAAAUAUGUAAAAUGGCAUUAUUAAAAUAUAUCAAAUAUUUGUUAAUUAUCAUGUUCGACGUCAGCGCCAACGCGCUCGCCGGUGGGCUGGGCGCCCCCACCGGGGUGGUGAUCGAGCUCCCGGCGGUGCGCGUGUUCAACGUCUCGGGAAACACGUUCAACAGCAUCCACCUGGUGCUCGCCGGUGCCCCUAACCUGACGGAGUACGACGUGUUGGGCAACAGCUUCAUGGCCUCAUCGAUGUUGUCGCCCUAUGUGGCGAGUUGCCGGCGCUGCGCGUCCUACGGCACUCCAUGAACAAGCUCUCCGGCGCAUUCCCCGUGGGGUUCGGGCAAUGCUGGUCGCUCGCCGAGCUCUCCCUCGACGGGAACGGCAUCGGCAGCACCCCACCCGACGACCUCUUCGGCGCGGCGUCGCUGCAGUUCCUCAGUCUCCACACCGACGCCAUCUUCACGGCGAUGAGGAGGCGGUAGCAGUAUUAGGUGAAUGAUGCUGAAUUCAGAAGCUUAAUCAGAACAUGCCAGAACAAUGGCUUUCAGCUUUCGUGUACUUGUACACCUUAUAAACCGGUCUGGAUGGAGUAAUUGUAAUGCAUAGGUCGGAUACACUCGGACGCAUACUCUCCCACAUAGGUGUGUCCGAGCAUACUAAUUAAAUUUAGUAAGUUUAUGACUCGAACAUUAAGCACUAAAAAUGCACACUAAUUUGUUUAUUACUCGAAACCGAUGAGUAGGUUUUGCCACAACAAUGUAAGAAACUAAUCCAUACUUAAGUUUGCCUGAAAAUAAGCUUGGCAAAUAAUGGAUGCGCUAGCGUAGCGUGCGUAGCGUGCUGUCCUUGUAAUGUAAGAAGAGCAGUUUUGUACUUUUUUUAGGACAAUAGCAGGUGCUCUGCCUUUUCAUUGAAGUAGGAGACAACAUAAUUUACAUGAGUUAGCUUUGACAAGAUGCCUGGCCUAAUGAGAAAAAGGGAAAACUGCCGGCCUAAAUUACAAUAGCCGGUCCCGAAUCAGCAUGUAGAGGUACUACUCUGGGAGCGCUCUCGCUAGCUGUAGCACGGCAACAUCAUGUUGGAUCAGACUAGCAAGCUAUACGAUGGACAAAUCAUAGCCCAGUAAAUCCGAUUUACAAAGAUGCGGCACUCCAUUAGAUACGAUGAACACUCAUCUCUUCUAACAAGCAUUGGCUACCUAGGAACUUUAUCGAACAACCGCGAGGCACCAAAAGCAACACGGCAGUUCACUGCUCAAUACGAGGCCAUUCUAUCAGACAUAAAAGGAUAACGAUUCGCUGCCGCAGGUUGCUACCACCUUUCCGACAGUAGCUCGUCCGUCCUCCCUGGCUAGCUUCCUCCAUGGCCGCAUGCAGCAACAGUCACUGCCGAUGCCGGGGAAUGGAGCGCGCCAAGGUGAGAGGACUUGGGCCCUUCCUAAUCUUGUUUCGUAAUGCCACUGGCCGGCACAAUUCAUAGGCCCGUACCCCUUCAACUGUUCUUCUUCCCCCGAAGGCCCUGCAGAACGUAGUCAGCUUCGUUACCAACGCGGCAACGGCGGCGGCUACGCUUCUACUGCUCAACGCCGUGCUAAAUCACUCACCUUCCUCCCGUUCUCACAAGUAAUUUCUUAGUUCUGGUUCCUUUCCUGCAGCUAUCUGUUCUGCCUCCCUGCUUGGGUUAAUUCUUGUGACUGCCUUUGGAGAGCUUGGACUUGCAGCAAGGGGGUCUCCAAAUAUUUUCAGACUCUUGUUGCCGUAAGACGCACCGGCAAUGUUCUUUCCAUAUGUUCCAGAUGGUAUAAGUGAUGAUCUGGUUUCUUUUCGGAUAUGUAUUCAUCAUACUUGACCACCAGACCUUCAGAUUGGUGAUUGGCCGUAUGAGGUUUUGUACUGCUUCGUAUGAGGCUAUUAGCUAGCGAGGCCGUUCUGGCAUACGGGUCUUUACAUGCAACCACUACUUCCAUAGCUAGGUGAUCAUAUCAAGCACCAAGGUAACCAAAAUGACCUCGAUUUUUUUAAAAAAAAAAUUGUUGAAGAACUAAAACACCUCUCUGCAGCACCAACACGAUCCGCCCAUGGCCUGUCAGGAGGUGUGUGCGCGUACAUGGACUCAGAAUUGCUUUGUGGGCCGGUGCUCGGAAACAGCAGCCUACCUACUAGUCCCAAACUGAUGGGCCAGGCUAUUACCCUCCCGGGCACGAUCAAUGGAUGGACGGAUCCUCCAGCCCAGUAUAAAGCCGAUAUGCGAAGACGAACUUGGCCCAGAGUCAGAGGCACAGAAGCGCAUGGAGAGCUUGCUCUGGAAGCUUCCCAGCACGCAUCUUGUAAGCUCAACACACUUCACUGGCUCCAACUUCAGUUCCGUUCCGAACGCAUGAAUCAAUCGAAUUUCACGUUCAUGUGUUUUUUUUGGGCAAAACCAUGUAGAUCAAGCAGCUAAUCCUGCUCGAUUCCCUCUGUCGAAAUAAUAUGAAAUGUUGCUAGGAUGUCGAUUCCGGACAAGAGAAUAGCCUUCGUUCAUGUGUAUAUAGGGUGCCAUUUUUAUUCAUGAAUCCCUAUGCAAUAUAAAAAACAAAUAUGCAAACAAAAGUUACUCAUGAAAAAAAAAUGUCCACUGCAGAAUUUUAGAGUUCAUGCAUUAUACACGCACUAUAGCGAACCAUCAUACAGCGGUACAUUGCUGUACCGUGAACACUGUAACUAAUACAGUAAUACUUAUACAGAGAAUAAACGUCCUCUUGUGCUUCAUACACAAACUACAAAUACAUAGCUUAAUUAUACGUGUCACACGAUGUAAAACAUUAAGAAUUACCUUCUCAUCAAGAAGUUCCAAGUGACAACCACAUGAACGCACAUCGUGUGAUACAGGUAAUCAAUGGAGGCGAAAUAGGAAUACCUCAGUCCCUUAUGUAACAACAUAAUGCAGAACACCACCCAAAGGCCAAAGAUGAACCCGAUAAUCAUGCUCAGGUAGAUGGAGUUCACCAUCCCAUUGUCCUUCUGCUCAGGCUCAUCAAC
rnacentral:lncRNA from 1 species